rnacentral:lncRNA from 1 species
AAAAUACUGUUUGGUUCGGAUAUAAGUAAGAAUUAGCUAUUACAGAAAUAGAUAUAAGUAUGAGAAUAAAAAAAAUAGUGCUUGGAUGAAAAUUGGGUUGUUCCCGAAGAUAAGAAUAAUUUAAGAUAAUUUUAUAUAGAAAAUGGAGGUAUUGAUGGGGAUAAUCGAGAACUACUAUUCUCGGAUAAAAAAUAAGCAUUUCGGUAUAAAGGGGAGGAUAAGGAUCUAUUCCUAUUCCUAUUUCCUAACCAAACGUUGCCGCACCAAAAAGAUGAGUGGGAACAAAUUGUUCCCGCCCAUGUGGCCAUGUAUACCGGAUAUGGGUGGACCAUGUGUGGCUCCCACAACCCCGGAGAGAGAGAGAGAGAUUCAUAUUUUAAAUUUAAAUUGAAAUUUAACUUUUUAAAAUUUAAAAUUUAAAAUUUUAAAUUUAUAAUUUAAAAUAAAAUUUUAAAAUUUAAAUUUAAAAUUUCUAAUUUGAUAUUUUCAGUUUUUAAAUUUUAAAAUUGAUAUUUUAUAUCUUUCAAAUUUAAAUUUAAUAUUAAAUUUAAAAUAUGAUAUUUAAACUUAAAAUUUUGAAAAUUAAAAUUUUAAAUUUUAAAAUUUAAAAGUUAAAAUUUUCAAUUUAAAAUUUAAAAAUUUAAAUUCAAUUAUAAGAAUAAUAUUAUUAUUUUUUAUUUAUAACCAUCAACUAUUUCUCUUCUUUUCAAUAACCAUCCAAACAUAAUUUUUCUAGUUCCAAUCUAUACUCAUAUUUUCAUUCAAAUUAAAAAAAUACUCUUGUUCUUACAAAAAUUUAUAUUUGUACUUAUUCCCGAUAUAACUAGUUUCUAUUAAUUCCCGAACCAAACCAAACGAAGCCUUUUAAAAUGUCUGGAUGCAUGACUAUAUAUGUAGUGCACAUUUUUUCUUGCACACGCAGACACGGACUGAGAACCUUAUCAAAAUCACAGCGGAUUAUAGGAUUAGCAUUGCCUCCUGAGCAUUUACGUGUCUAGUUGGAAUUCAGUGAUAAUAACAGCAAAAUUGCUAUUUACGUUAGACUAGAUGACACCUCAUGCACAGCACUAGUACGAAAGUCCAAUUUUGAGAUAUUAAGAUUUCAUCUUGUACCGACCAUUCCUACAGCAAGUGAUAAAAGAUUUGAUGAUUGAUACUCGAGAUCCCAAGUUUGAAUUCUACUUGAUUUACAUUUUUAACUAAAUUUAUUUCUAAAUAAAAUAAAUAAAACGGAUAGCGUGCUAUUUAUCUCUCAAAAAAUAAAAAAAAAAGAUUUCAUCCUGUGCACGAAUUUCAACUCACCUCCUCAUUUUUCAAUUCCCCAGGAUAGCAAUAUUCUUCUAUAUAUUCAGCAAGUGAGAGUAACUUCAUAAGAAAAGGCAGAUACGUAGAUGGAAAUCCCAUGUCGAUUAAACAAAAACACACAAAAUUUCAGCCUUCUGAUAUGGUCACCAUUUUUUCUUAAUGUUAAUUCUAUAUAAUUUAAUAUACUGACAGAAUGACUAAUUAUUUUGUAAUAAUUUUUGGCCCGUAAUCAAUGAAAACUCAUUUUUACAAAAUUUGAAAAUAGGAAAAAAUGCUUCUAUUUUUUUAUUUUGGGUUACCAAACAAAUAUAUAAAUUGGAUGUAAAAAUUAUAAGCAAUUUAUUAUUUUCUCUCACACUAAUUUAUGUAGAAAAUUUAAUUUUUUUAAAAUACAACUACCAUGUAUAAAUCAAAUCAUAGAGCUUUUAUGAUAGACAUAAAGUAAUGGUGUGCAACAUCAAAAUUAAGAAACUCCCGGUCCACCGUGGUAUGUAAAUUUUAACGUUUAUCCAAAAAUUCUAAUCUUUCAUUCUAGAAUUUAAUUUUUUUAAAAAAUUUAAUAUAUAAAAAUUUUUAAUAAAGUCAUGAAUAAAAGUAAAAUCAAUAUGUGACGGCGGACUGAAAGCCAUUCAACAAUACGACUUUGUUCGAGAGCCACCCACUUAAACUUUGUUCGGCUCCCCCGACUGGAUUCUCCAUAAAUGAGAUUUUUGUGUACUUAGGUGUCAUGCAUGCAUGAGAUUUUUAUGUACUUAUUAGGUGUCCGCCACAACAUUUCUUCAAAUUGCAUCUGCCAAGAUACUUUGGCCUGCUAAUGAUCUAAUCUACGUCUUAUUCAACAUUAUUGAUGUGUGUCAUACUCGCCGGUUAAAGACAACUCUUAUAUCAUUUCCACCUUAAAUAACAUAAAAUAAGAGAAAUACUACAUGCACCUGAAAAUACAUUUAAAAACAUUAUUAAAUAAUGAAAUUUGCAUAUUUGGUAAUCAUGUACUUUUAUUUCAAAAAACUGAAUAUAAAUUAGGCACAUCAUCAAUUUUAAAACCUAAACCAUUCACCAACUCUGAUAUAUAUACAAAUCUUAUUUACAAAAAAACAUAAAUAUGUCCAUACAAGGAGGCGAUGGUCUUAUUUGGAACUGCAGAGUACUGCUGCGUUGUUUUAUAAUUGUGGUUUCAAUUGCGCCAGCAAUGGUAGCAUACAUUAAAAUCUACCUAAAAGCUUCUUUUUUAGGAGAAUUAGAAGUUUCAAAUCAAAAGUUUUCCUAAAAAUCUGAUUUCAACUGUGCUGCAGCAGUUUAUUGGUAACGUUUUGGCAGAGGCUAAAAUAUGACAUGGAUCAUAUUACAUACCAGCGAUGCUACAUUUAAGACCAUUUUUUAUUGUAAUCAUACAACAUGCCAAUCUAAAGACUAAAAUUGUCACACGUUAUUUCACACUCUUUUUUUAAUACUAUAUAUUUUAGAGAAAGAUAGAAUGCUAACAGGUUCGUAUAUUUUUUUUACAAAUAAAUUUAACUGAAAAUAUAAAUUAAUCAACUAGGAUUUAAACUUGAAGCCUCGGUGUCAAUCACUAAGUCUUUUGCCCUUUGCGCUUGGGACGGUCGACAUCCAGAAAAUAAUUAUUUAAUCUUUAGAAAAAUUUUAAUUCUCAGAUGAAAAUCGUAAUUCUUACGAGUUACGACUCUUUUUGGAUUGCAAACUUGGCAAUAUUUCUCAUUAUAUAUGCAUAGCAUGCAUGAACUCCUUAUAAUUCAUACCAAAAGCAUCACAAAGUUUCUAUGGCUCUUCUUCACAUGAUUGCCUCCCUGCCUUUUGUUGUUCUCCUACUACUCCCUCUUCUACUCCUCACAAGAAGAAAGGAGGGCAGCACAUCACUAAAACUUCCCCCGGCCCCUCCCAAGCUCCCAGUAAUUGGCAACCUCCACCAGCUUGGAAGACUGCCCCAUCACUCCCUCUCUCGGCUCUCGCAACGAUACGGCCCCCUCAUGUACCUGAAACUCGGCCAUGAGCCGACCAUCGUGGUCUCCUCUGCCAACAUGGCCCAGGAGAUCCUAAAGACGCAUGAUCUAGAAUGCUGCAGCCGACCGCCCCGCACCUCACAUACAAAGCUCUCCUAUGGUUGCUCGGACAUCGCCUUCGCGGUGUACGGCGGGCCAUGGAGGGAGCUGCGAAGAAUUUCCAUUAUCGAGCUUUUCAGCGCCAAGAAGAUCGCCUCGUUUCGAUCCAUUAGAGAAGAAGAGGUGGAGAGAACUAUGAGCUCGAUAUCCUCUUAUUCAAGCAGUUCUCUCCCUGUCGAUUUGAGCAAAGAACUGAUCGCGCUCACGAGCACAAUCACUUGUAGAAUGGCUUUUGGAAGGAGCUACCAUGAUGUUGGAAGCAGAUUUCAGAUGAUUCUGAAUGAAGCACAGGCCAUGCUCGGGGGCUUUUUCAUCUCGGACUACUUGCCUAUCAUCGGAUGGGCCGAUUGGCUCACAGGGAUGAGAGCGAGGCUCGAGAAGAACUUUAUCGAUCUUGAUCGCUUCUACCAACAAGUCCUCGAUGAGCAUCUCGAUAGAGUGCAGCAGCAGCACCAGCAGGACUCUGGCGAAGACGUUGUGGAUAUUCUACUGCACAUGCAGAAGGACGAGAAAAGUCUAACCACGGACCAGAUCAAAGGAGUCCUUAUGGUAAGAAAUAUCCAAUACCGAAUCGCAAAAAACAUUCUUCUAUAUUAUUCUACACAAGUUUACCCUUUUUUGCAGAAUGUUUUCAUUGGUGGGAGCGACACGUCCUCAGCCACCGCGGGAUGGGCGAUGACGGAGCUAAUGAGGCAUCCACAAGCGAUGGAAAAAGCUCAAGAAGAAGUAAGAAGCCUCGUCGGGAGCAAAGGAAAGGUAGAGGAGAGCGACAUCGACCAACUACACUACCUCAAGUGCGUUGUGAAGGAGACCAUGCGAUUGCACCCAGUGGUUCCCAUGCUUAUUCCAAGAACAACGUUGCAGCAUUUCAAAAUCAACGGCUAUGAUGUCCCGCCCAACACAACGAUACUCAUCAAUGCUUGGGCGAUUGGAAGGGACGGGAGUUACUGGGAAUCGCCGGAGGUGUUCAAGCCGGAGAGGUUCAUGAAUAGCACGGAUCUCGAGUUCGCAGGGAAGGACUUCAAUAUGAUACCAUUCGGUGAAGGUCGCAGGAUCUGUCCGGGGAAGAACCUCGGGAUAAAAACGGUCGAGAUCAUGCUCGCCAACCUUCUUUACUCCUUCGACUGGGAACUUCCGACGGGUACGACGAAGGAGGACAUCGACAUGGAUGAGACACCGGGCGUUACCGUGCACAAAAGACAUGCCCUUCGGCUUCUUGCCACUAAAUAUAGCAGCGUCUACAGCUAAUUUUACAGAACGCGUCUUAGCUAGUGAGAUGCGCUCCUAUCUACCUACUCUGUUCGAUCUAUCUAUCAUUCUCUCGAUGUAUCUGCCUAUAUCAGUUAUCUAUCUCACUGGCUAUCUUAAUUAUGACUAUAAUAUGCCAAUCAUUUGUAUAUACAAGCUCCAUCUCACUACUACUCCAACGUACAAAAAUUAAUCUAUCAAGAAUUAAGAACACUCAGUAUAAGUUAGAUUCGCACAUUUUACUUAAUUAUUUUAAGACAAUUUGUUGCGGAAAAAUAUCUGUAAACCGACCUGGCCUGACCCACGCACCUUCUAGAGCAAAUUUUUUUUAUCCAGAAAGUAUUUAGCUGUUGAUACUUCCUGUUAAAUAUUACUACAUUAAUCAAAUGAAAUUCAUUCAAUUAAAUAUGAUAUAAACUGCUUGGGAUAUUAGAAACGUAAGGCCAUUGUUUUUAGGCAUGCAUUCAUCUAGGAUAUGGUGGUUUACUAUCUCAAAUAAAAAGGACCAGUUCAAUGAUCCUCUUUAAGUACCACUAAGAGUGUUUUUAAUUUCACGUAAAUGUUACUAAAAAAAUUUUCAGACCUGAAAAUAGUUUUUCUAGUAUUUGAUUUGGCGUAAAUUAAUUUUUUACAAAAGAAAUUACUUUACAGAUUUGAGGAUAAAAAAAAAGAGCUUUUCAUUUUCCAUCUUUAUCUCGGCGAGUAGUUCACGGGUUUAUGGCAUUGUGCAUGGUCCUGGAGCUUAUGUGAUGCGUGGCCCACGCUGGACCACUCACACAUCCUCUCUUGUAUAUAUAUAUUAGAGUUAAUAUGGUACAUAUUCUUACAAAUAUAAUGAAUAUAAAUAUAUUCUUACAAAAUAUAUAUAUUCUUAUAAAAAUCAUAAUAUUUUUAAAUAUGUCCCUCAAAUUUGUUAUUGUUAGAGAAUUAUUUAUUUUUUCAAUUUUACCAUCACAAAUAUAUCCUUACCAUCACAAAUAUAUCCUUCGAAAAAACAUAACAGUAUAAUAUAAGAUGAAUAAAAAUAUUAAAAACUAAUGAGGGUUAAAUAUUUAAUCUAUUGUUAACUAAAUUUCUCUAACGAAUUUUAAUGACGGGGACAUAUUUGAAAAUAUCAGGACUUUUGUAGGGACAACAUAUGAAAAUUAAACUUUAUAGAAAUAUAUAUUUGACAAUUAUUAUAUUUGUAGAAAUUUGUAUAAAAUUAACCCUAUAUAUUAUAUAUAUAAAGAGAGAGAGAGAUUCUUUCAGCUAUCCAGGGUGGUGGAGAAGAGAGUACCCAAAUUAUAAUUUGGGUCUGGAUCAGGUUUAAAAUUUUAGGCCCGAAAAAAUUGUGUCUAUUUGAACACAUUCAAACCCGGUCAGUCCGGACUCAAUUCAAAAGUCUGUUAUAUUAAUUACCGUAAGAAAAUUUAGUUAUAUAUAUAAUAUAUUUAUCCAUAUCAUGAAUGAAUGAUGUAAUAUAUUAUAUAUAGUAUAGUAUUAUUAAGAAUAUAUAUUAACAUACAACUAAAUAUCUAGUUCUCAUAGGGGGAUAUAUUAUAAAUAGUAUUAGCAUAUACACUUAUAUAUAUAUAUAUAUAUAUAUAUAUAUAUAUAUAUAGAGAGAGAGAGAGAGAGAGAGAGAGAGAGAGAGAGAGAGAGAGUCCGGCUACUACACUAUUAACACGAAGCACUUUGUGCUACCAAGUUUUCCGCCGUUAUACCUAUCCUUUUGAUUAUUUUCACCCAUUAGACAGGGACGAAACUAGGAUUCAAUCUUGAGAGGAGCCAAAAUAUAUUUAAAUAGAAAUUUUAGUACUAAAUAAUAAACAAAAUUUUUCUUAAUUAAAAUUUUUUUAUUAAAAUUUAUUAAUUAAAUAAAUAAUGUAAAAGUAUGAACUUUAUUUUUUUUAUUUUCAGAUGUUUAAUUUUUAAUUAUUUUAUUUAUAUUAUUACAUUAAAAUAACUUAGAAAUUUUACUAAAUCUAACGGUAAUUUUUUAGUUUUUUAGUAAAUAAAAUUAAUAUAACUAUUAAAUUUAGUACAAUUCUUGAUUUAGUUAAAUAAAAGAGCUCACCUAAGAUAAAUAAAAAUUUUAAAAAAUUAUUAAAUAAAAUUUUUAGAGGAGAGAAAUAGAUUACAAAAGACUCUAUAAGUAAGAAGCUUGUAAUAUAUUUUCACUCAUUAAAAGAGUAUACCGAUUAGGAGAAAGAGAGAGAGAGUUAUGUUGGCACCAUACUGUUAAGUAAAUAUUGAAAAACUAUGGAGGCCAAAGCUAUCCAUGGCCCACCCAAAAAAAAAAACUUUGAAGGAUCAUUAAGUAAAUAUUGAAAAGUUGAGGGAGGCCAUGACCACCUUGGGCCUCUACAUAGCUUCGUCCUUGCCAUUAGAUUAUACUAUUUAACCAACUACCUACUCAACUCUAGGAGGUCCACAUCAUCCUAACCACACAUUUCUUAAUCCAAUGGUUAAAAACUUGGUAGCACCAAUAACUUUGUGCUAUUAAUAGCAUAGUAGCCUAGUUCUAUAUAUAUAUAACUAAGUAUAUAUACUGUGUAUUAUUAUAUCUUGUUAUAUAUAUGUAAGGACAUAACUGUAUAUUAUAUGUAAUAUAUUAUUUAUUCAUAUGAGAAUAUAUUAUUCGCAUGUCUAUUUCCAACACUUGAAUUUAAUUGACUACCUAGUUGUUUAUUAAUUUUUGUUGAUAAUCUAGAUGUCUUUUAGCUAAUGAAUAAAAUUACUUUUUAUGAAUAACUACAACUUUUAAUAAGUAAAAUUUUGAAAUUGAGUUCAAUAUUGAUGAUGCUUUCGAUGUGAUCAAAUUCAAGUCUUAAACGCAUAACAUUUGACAGUUUACUUUAAUUUAAUAUCAAUAAAAAUAUAUAUGCGCAAUGUGGCAAUUGCAUGAAGAGGUCUCAACGAAGCCCGAUGGGUAUUGGACAUUAGGCUUGGGCCUGGUGCAAGCCUUACUUUUUUAAAAAUAUUCAGUAGAAGCUCGAUCCCAAUUCCCAAGCCAAAUUUUUUGAUUGGGCCAAGCUUGGAUAUAGUAUGACCCAACCCAAAUCUGGCCCAGUUCUACCUCUAGUCUGUGGAAUAGCAUUCUGUGCUAAUAUUAAAUUAGGUUUAAGGCCUAGUUUGAUGAUGCAGUGGCUAAAAGUAUUAUUUUAGUAUUUUUUUAUUAUAAAAUGUUAAAAAAUUAUUUUUAGUUUUCUAUAUUAUAAAAUUGUGAUUGUAAUUGUAAUUUUAAAGCAUUAUUACAAUGAAAAAGAUUAUAAGCAAUUUUAGUUUGUUUAGACCUUUCUAGCGCUUUUAGCCACUAUAUUACCAAAUUAAGGUUAAGUCUUAUCUUUGCAAUUCAUAAUCUAUUUUUUUAUUAUACUAAAAUAUAUAUUUUUAAUGACAUAGAAAAAUAGGCCCAAGCCCCAUUUAUGUCUUAUUAUAUAUAAUCAAAUGGCCGACGAUUCUAGCAGGUCGUAAAAGAUUUCAUAAUUGGUAUCUCAGAUUUUAAAUUUAAAAUAUAAAAAUUAUUUUAUAUUUUUAAUUAAGUUUAUUUAAAAAAAAUGAAUGAAGCGGAUAAUAAUCCUACUUUUUCUCUCUCAAAAAAAAAAGCAAAGAGAAAACAAAUUUAUGAGAACGAUUCUAUUAAUUUAUUAUAACUCAAUACCACAAUCAAGUAAUAACAUUUCUACCCCAGAAAAAAAGGGGGAGGGGGGAAGUAAGCCCAACUGAACAUCUUUACUCAACGUAUUUAUGCAAGCAAAACGAACGCACGAAGUCGUAGUUCAACGAAACCCAAUCUUGGAAUUAUGCAUUCACAAAUCUGCAGUUCUUCCUCACUUCGCCACCCUCAGGGUUGGUGAUAUUCCCCAUCUUGACCAUAGAAUCAGCAAACUGUUUGAAGAACGCCGCAGUAUCGGCCCAAUACUUGGCGACAAUGUCGGCAGUCUGGAAUCCAAUGAGACUCGAGUACAUCUCCUGGUCGGAGUUCAGCAGGCCUUCUCCGUGCAGGAGGGUCUCGAAGAAGGCGUUGUCGAAGAUGGUGGGCGUCACGUGGUCUAUCGGGCUGGUAUUGUCGUCCCCUCCCCUCGCAGGACAGGUCUCCUUCAGCUUGGUAAGGUACAAAGAUGACGCCGCUUCUGAUUUCGACGUUAGUUGGAAGUCGCCAUAGAUCCUGUCGCGAAUGUUCACGCAUCGGGACACUCCGAUCGUGUGCGAUCCUAUAAUUGAAGAUAAUGAUCCAUGUCUGACAUUAGAUCACACGUAAAAUUAAUUUGAUAGUAAACCAUUCGGUAAUAAACUUUCACGCGCGGCAUGAAAUAUGAGCGCGUAGGACGUCGUACCCACGAGCGCCACCAUGUCGGUGACUGACAGACCCUUUGCCAAGAACUUGGAGAUGAGGGUGGCCAGGCCCUGAUCAGAAGUAGGGAUAUCUGUGUUCGCUUGGUCCAGACUCGCCUUUUUCGAAUCCAGCCUUCCCACUGGAACAUCCCAGUAAGGCCCUCCAACCUGCAGCCAGCUUAUACGAAAUCACACCCAAAAAAAAACAAAAAAAGAAAUCAAUUGAAUAAUUAAUUUAUCAUGACUUCUGUAAAUGCGACAGUCAAUACCAGAACGACUGCGUCUUUAGCAGCAACGGCAAGGAGGUCGGCGCAGGAGACGACUCCAGGGCACUCAGCUUCGAGCUUCUCCUUUAUCUUGUCGACUAGGUCGAAGCCUUUCAGCGAGUUCACGUUCUGAUCUGCUUGCUUCUCCCCUAUCAUCGAAACCGUGUCGUCCAGAAGAACUGACCCGUCGCACCCCUGCGUCAUAUCGACCAUUAUAAUUUAUGUCUAGCACUCAAAAAUAGCUUGCUACCUUUGUCUCAAAAAAAAACACCUAAACUCAACUUAACGAGUAUUGUUUAUUUUAUUUUAUUUUUUUCUAAGUAGAGGAUUUCUUAAUGUGGUACAUGAGUACUCGCCAAGUUGUAAGAAAAAAUGCGGUGUGUUAGCUUACACUGACCUGGACAAAGCAAUCAUGGAAAUGAAGUCGGAGGAUGAUGGCGGCGUUAUGAGGAUCUGCGCGCACUGCACAUUCCAUUUCCGACCGAACGACUUGUUGCGCGGUCGGGCAUGAUUUCGAGUAGUAAUCUAAGCUCAGUUUUGAAGGGUCCUGAGCCUCCAAAUUGCUGACGAUGGCCAGAAAACAACCCAAAAAGAGAAACACGGCUUCAGCGCAGGAGAUAACGUUCAUGUUCUUCUCCAUCGACUCGUUAUGUUACGCUCGGAUUGAUUAUGUGAGGGACUCCAUUAAAAUGCACCAACUUAUAUAGUAGUAGAGAGGGGACACGUGACCGAGUCAAGAGUGGGAUCAACUAAUUAAUGUAGAUGUGUGGUUGGUUCAGCUAGUUAGCCAAAUAUUGUAUAAACGUUGGUUCUCUUGACUCAAUUAAUCUCCAAGGUUUGGAAUUUGGAUUGAUUAUAUUGGCAUUGGGUAGGUUUUGGGUUCACCGGUGUUAGAAGUAGUAUACAAACUCUUGACUUUUAUAGCACUCGAUUAGCUUCUUCGUUGUUCCUCUUCUAAUUAAUAAUGGGAGACUUACAGAUGGACGCUUCAAGAUUAGUAAUUCCAGUAUAUAUAUUGCUUUUGUUUUCUCCUGGACAAAUAAAUCAUAGUAACAUGGCUUUGGUUCGGUCUAAAGUGAAAAAUGCGAGCCUUUCAUUUCUUUUUGUUUUGAAAAAAAUAUAGCACGCUACCUAUUUUAUUCAUUUAGAAAAUGAAUUUGGUUAUAAGGGUUGAGGCAACCUGGCCUCGAAUAACAUUAUAGGUAAACAAAACAAAAAAUACAAAUAAAAGCAAAGGGGAAAAAUCGUAGAAAAAUUACUAAUUCUACUCCUCACUCAAGAUCAAGCUACUAAAAGCUGCAAAACUCAACCCAUUUUCGGCUUAUUUUUCAGAUUCGUCUAAUUGUCAAAAAAAUGUCAAAUGAUUGGUUCUUAAAAAUUAUGUAACAUAAUUGCUUCAACUUAUCUUAGCUCGCAUAUGUUUAAGUCAAUUAAGCUAAAAUACCUAACAAGAUAAACAAUAUAUUAUAAUGUACAAUCAAAUUUAGCAAGUCUAAGCAAGAACUCCCUUUUAUCAUUAAUGGAAUUAAGGUAGUGAUAUUGAUAUUACAUUAAUGUAAAUUUCUUGGGUACGACUUGAGCGUAAGUGAACUGAAAUUGAUCUGACUUAGCUUGAUUGCAUUCGACUUAUUUUGUCAAAACAAUCCACUCUCCUGGACGACAUCCAUUUUUUGUCGCAACAAUCCACUUCCACUUGACUAAGAGGUCGCACCCUAUCACAUACGCAAUCAGUAAUUUUUUUUUUUUUUAGAGAAAAAUAAUAUACUAUCCGUUUCGCUUAUUUUUUUUUUAAAAAAAAUAGUUUGAAAUAUAAAACAACUAAAUUUUGAAGUUGAGAUCUCGAAUACCAACCUCAAGGCCUUUGCGUUGGGAAUAAUCGGUUACUGAGGCCGAAACUUGUAUUUAGAAUCUUUCAUUGCUUAAGAGCUAAGAUCAUAAAAUUUCACCUCUAUUUUUUGGAAGGAUUAUAUAAUAUAAAUAUAAUCAAAGAUGAGCAUUCUGCUAGUUUCUCUCGUGUCGUAUCCCAAAAUGUGCACAAAAAGUUAAAAGAGUACUUCAUACGGAUAUCAAACUGCAAAAAAAAUGCUAUACUUACAUAUAAUAUUUUAUGUGCACAUAAAAGGGAAGCAAAGAAACCAUCCCGAUCUAGUUACAAGUAAAAUGCUUUGAGUUUAUUAUUGUAGGACGCAAAAACACUAACAUAGAUCCAGUGAUGUAGAAAUAGUUUCAUAAAAACAAUUUUACUUGAAUUAAAAAAAAAAUUUCAUAAGAGUGGACAACUUUUGGUACAUUCCGUCAAGCUUCAUACCGAAUCGUCCGUUGACUCUCAAAAGUAAAGAAACCAAAAAAAAUCAAUAAAUAAAUACCGAAUUUCGAAGAGAGAGAGAGAGAGAGAGAGAGCGAUCCCUUUCUUUCUCCUGUGAUCCAUCACCGUGGUUUGCGAUCGAAGGGAAAAGAGGGAGAGGAAGGGGAGAGGGGUUUGGUGGGAGGAGGAGAUAUAUAACAAUGGGGUGCUCGUUCUCGGGGCUCAACGCUUUGUACGACGCGGUGAACGGGGGGGGUGAUGUGUGGAUCAACGAGAACCGAUUCAGGAUCGUGAGGCAACUCGGCGAGGGCGGGUUCGCCUUCGUCUACCUCGUCAAGGAGAUCGUCGCCGACGCCGGCGCCGCCGCAAAGAAGUCGCUACACCCCUCCCACGUCUCAGGUCGGAUCUCGAUCUCGAUAUUAAGCUCUUAACAUUUUUUCUUUUGGGGGGAUGAAUUAUGCUUUCGAUUCCACUUAUUUGAUUAUAAUGUCUCGAUCUGAGCAUGUUUUUUCGCUGAUUGAUGUAGCUAUUGUAGUUAUAUUUUGCUUAUAGAUCAAAAUUUAGGGUUUGGAGAUCUUCUAUGUGUUAUAGAUGUUCGUGAAAUUUAUUGUUUUUUUUUAGUAAAUUUCUUAAGGUUUUUGUUCGCCAGUUGCGUAGUUUGCAAAAUACUCUAAGAAUUUCUUUUGCAAUCAUGUGUUUUUGCCCAUAGAAUUUAAUUCUACAGUGUUAUUAGGGGCUUCUACAUGUUUGAGGUUGCAUGUCUUGGUUCAUCAUCGUCCUUCUACAAUAGGUCAAUAUGUUAAAAAGAUAAGGGCAAUUUCAAAGUAUCAUCGAAUACAUGACUGUUUUUUAAAACUUUUUUUUCUCACCUAACAGGCAACUUUACUUAUUUUCUGGUAUUUAUGGAUCCUAUUCUUUUGCUUUUAUGUUAGAACAAUGGAUAGAGCCCAAAUGUUAAUGAUCCCAACCAGGGGCUACAUAUUGUGCUGCAAAUUUUCACCAAAUGUCAUGUUUAUUAAUAUCCCGACAUUGCUUCAGAUGAUGGAACAUAUGCUAUGAAGAAAAUCCUUAUUCAGAGCACGGAGCAAUUAGAGUUGGUGAGAGAGGAGAUACGCAUUUCAUCUCUUUUUAGUCAUCCUAACUUGCUUCCCCUUCUCGAUCAUGCAAUUAUUGAUGUUAAGGUAUUUAACCAAACCUUUUUUAAUUCUAACUUUUAAGCAUUGUAUUCUCAACCAAUAUAUAUAUUUUUUCCCUCUGAACACAAUUGAAACAUGUUGAAAAUUUUCUGGCUACUCAUUCUCUGAUUUUGGGGAACCAAAACACUCAUAAUUAAUUUACCUUUGGAGGUUAAUAGUACAUUAUUUAGCUUUAUUUGGUUUUAUAUUCUCUGUUUGUGAGUAGCUAACCAAUAUAUUUAUCUUUUAAAGAUUGACCUAGGAAACUUCCAUACCCAAAAAUUUUAGUUGCAUUGCAAUUAUCAUUUUUAUUAACCAAAAUUCCAAGGUCCUGUGUCUAAUCCACAACCUGGUUGUGGACUCUUAUUUCUUAAUAAUUGACCGUUUAGAAGCUUAUUACCUAAUGCAAGGAAAAUUUGCUUUACCUCUAUUAUGUCUAUAGCGCACGCAUUUGCUUAAUUUCGUUAUGAUGAAUGGAAAUCUAAAUGUUUUAAUGGUUUUAGGGUCCACAAGGAGGGUCAUGGAACCAUGAAGCUUACCUAUUAUUCCCAGUUCACUUGGAUGGUACUUUAUUGGAUAAUACUAAAGCUAUGCUGGCAAAGAAGGAAUUCUUUCCCACGCUUACUGUUCUGCAAAUAUUCAGACAGGUGACUUUAUUUACAAGCAUCCAAUAUUAGUAUAUCUGUUGUUAGAAGAAGUAACAUUGGACCUUAUAAUUUGAAUUACAUCAACCUUCAAGAAUUUUCCAAAUGUUUCUUUUAAGUUGUAUAGCAAGUCAGAUCUCAUAAUCAAUUCCCACAUCCAUGUCUAUGCAACAUGUGUUUUUUACAACAUCAACUGAGCUUGAAUAGAAGCAUUUAUUUUUGCUAUUCAAUUUAAAACUUGUGAAAGUGUCUGUCAAUAGAAAUAUUUUAAAGAAACAUGAUUCGUUUAACUUUGUAAACAUUUUCAAUAUUAUCUUUAUACCAUUUAUCUUAUAUUCCUGCUACUUCUUUGAUUGUUCAAAUGGAUGUUAGUUCAUUUACCUAGAAUUUCUUUCUGAAGUCCAUAAGAUAAAUAAUCUAACUUGUUAAAUUUUGUUUGUGGUAAGCUAAAAGUUUAUUGAAUGGGACAUUCUCUGCCAUUUAUGCUUUUAACUUCAUAUUUUCACAACAAACUUCUUUGUAUACUUUGUACUGUGUUUUCAUUGUCAGCUAUGUGAAUAUAUCCAUGUAAGUAGUCACUAAUGCAGACCACUGACAGCUUUGUGCAGGACUGAAGCACAUGCACAGUUUUGAUCCUCCAUAUGCGCAUAAUGAUGUAAAACCUGGUAAUGUUCUUAUAACACACAGGAAAGGACAACCACCUCUCGCCAUCCUAAUGGAUUUUGGAAGUGCUAGGCCUGCAAGAAAGGAAAUCCAUUCUCGUUCGGAGGCACUACGGUUGCAGGCAUGGCCGCUUUCUUUAUCUAUUCAGCCAAAGCAUUCUUCUUUCAACAUUUCUUGUAUUCUGAUCAAUUAUUAGCUACUUCAUCCCUUCAACAUGUUCAUGUUUUUGUGUUUCUUGAUGUAUGUUUCUUACUAUAUCGCCUUUACGGAGCAAUGCUACAUCACAUUCUGUGAACUUUUACGUACAUGUGUAACAACAUAUAUAGCAGAAUUAUUUCAACAAAGUGUUGGUCUUGAUAUGUAAGGUAACCUUUUCUCUUUUCGAUCUUAAAGCAUUUGCGAGCAUGAUUCAUGCUGUUAGCUAUGAUGUAGAGAACUUAAAGGUUGUCUAAAGAGAAUUUCUGCUGAAAUGCAGACUGAAGCUUCUUAAUUUUAAAGGUUGAUGUAAGGAGUUAGAUUGGUUGAUGGUUUGGAUUUCAAAAUUAGUUUGGUUGAAUCAUUUCUAUUCUUUUCUUUCAUUCUCGAUGAUGUUAGAACUCAGAACUUACAAAGUUCAUAAAAACCUUAGUUAUUGGCCAGCGCUUUAAAUAGUGUAAGGUGAGAUUGAGCAUGGUACCAUGUUACAUUCAGAGUAUCUGUGCAUGAAUCAUAUAUUUGGUUCUGAGCAUCACUCAAAGAAAAAUGGCAUCUAAAUGUAAUUUUUCAACUAUCCUCUCCUGUGAUGUCAUUUCUUUGCUGACCAGUUCGUGAUUGCAGGAUUGUAGUCUUUAGCUCCAUAAUUCCCUUGCCAGCGUGCUUAAUGUCUGUUAAUCAACUUAAUAAAUCAUUUCAACAAAUGGCUUUGUUGAAUAUGCAUUGCUCAAAUCAUGCAUAGACGUAAUCAUAUGGUAGUGCAAAUUUAUUAUCUGUGUACUUGAGAUUUCCCUUUCUUGACUCCUACAUUUGAUAUCUUAUUUAGGAAAUCUUUCUGAUUUUGCGUUUCUCUGAUGUUUUUUAUUUAAGUUUUCCCUUUUGAGAUAAGAUCAAGUUUUUAUGGUGGCAGUAUUAUAGACUAUCACUUCUGCUCAAUUUGCUGCUUAGUAUGUUGAGCCUCAAAUGUAUUUACUAUCUUUCAUAACAUAUUUUUUUAAAGGAAUGGGCUGCUGAGCAUUGUUCUGCACCUUUCCGAGCUCCUGAGUUGUGGGAUUGUCCAAGCCAUGCUGACAUUGAUGAGAGGACAGACAUCUGGUCUUUAGGAUGUACCUUGUAUGCAAUAAUGUAAGGCUGCUAAUUCUCAGGAUUCUAGGGAAUCUUGCAUUUCACAAUUCACUUAUUCCAAUUUCCACUCCAUCUAUAUUGUACAUUCUAUAUCAUGCUUAUAUUUGUUAAAGUUAACACUAUUUUGAGCCUUUUAUCUCAAAAAAAGGAACCUACAUAUAUGCUGGACCAUUCUAGGUUUAGAGCAUGUGGACCAGAAAAUAUGCGGCAACUAGUUAAGCAAAAGUUUUAGGAACAUACAAAAGAUAGCAGUAUUAGUGUUUUAGUUAAGAUUGACCUAACUUUGAUGUGACAAGGUUAUGAACGUAAUAUGUUACGGGUAGAGCCACAAUUUCUGCUUUAGAAGUUCCAGAAGUGGUUUGAUUGGGAAUUUGAGUGGUGUGACAGUUCGAGUUAGUUAAUUGCUCAACUGGGCUGCUGAUCUAUUUACUCGAAGUGAUAAUACCGUGCAAGUUACGACCAACGUUCCUCUUUGAUUUUAUAUGCAAAGUAAUCUAUGAUAUACCAAAUGGCUGUGCAUAACGACAGGAAAAGCUUAAAACGUAGUGUAUGAUAUGUUCUUUUCUUAGAUGACUCUGUCUGCUCCUCUGAUAUCGGCUUUUCUUUCACCUAAUUUGAUCUAGAGAACAUUUCAAAUAUAUGUGAUAGAUUUAAGAUAAAGAAAUGAAUAUUGUUGUACUUAACAACUUGUGUUAUUGCCGACCAUUGUAGGUAUGGCGUAUCUCCAUUCGAGUAUGCGCUAGGUGAAUCUGGCGGUAGCUUACAGUUGGCCAUUAUCAAUGCUCAGGUAAAGUGGCCGCCAGGUCCCACUCCCCCUUAUCCGGAAUCUCUUCACCAAUUUGUGGUCUGGAUGCUUCAACCUCAGCCGGCUGUGCGGCCUCAUAUUGAUGACAUCAUCAUCCAUGUUGACAAACUUAUAUCAAAAUACUCCUAAUGCAGUUCCAUCUUUAUUCAAUUACUGUAAGUUGUUACUUCUUUAUACCAAGUGAAAGCUUGAUUGAGAAUUUUUAGAUGAAUCCUUUCGUUGAUAUUAUGCGCGAAUAUCAAAAUUUUCUAUUUUUUUUGGCUAGUUUCAGCUGACGUUACUUCUUUUUAUAUCUUUCUUUUGUUUUACGACGAGUGUUGUACAAAGUUUUCAGACAAAAUGAAGAACUGCUUAGGGCCUAAAUAAAGUCGUUUUCGGCCAUACAUGAGUGGAUGCAGAGAAGAGGAGCAUUUCCUUUUUUUUUUUUUUUUUUUUUUUUUUUNUUUCUUAUUAUUUAUUAAAUACUGAAUUAUCAUUUCAAAUCACUUAUGUCUGCUUACUGCUUACUGCUUCGGCGGCCUAUUGUGUUUUACCGUGUGCGUGAAUUUAUUUAACUUGAUCCAUUAAAUUAAUAAAUUUGAUUUUAAUAACGUAGUAUUCAGACAUAAGUGAUUUGAAAUGAUAAUUCAGUAUUUAAUAAAUAAUAAGAAAUAUCAUAUCUUAUAUCAAUUUGUUAUUAAUACGGCUAAAAAUGAGAUGACAGUGUAUAAAUAAGUAUAAAGUAAGCUUAAUUCUUAUAUAGUGUACAAUAAACUAUUUAUUGCAAAAGAUUAAAAUAAUUAAAUAUGUUUGAAUAAAAAUAAAUAAUAAACGAUAUCAUGGGGCAUCGCUUGCGUCUCCUUCCCCUUGAUUGCAUCGUGGCAUUGCCUGAUUUCUAUUUUCACAUCCUAAUAUAUACGUACAGUCCCUCUGCUAUAGACGUUGCACGUUAGUGCUUGUUUAAUUUAUAUUCUAAAUUAUCUAAUUAGAUUUAAUAUUUAUAAAGAAAAUUUAAAUUUUGAAUAAAAAAUUAAAAUUUAAAAUUUAAAAUUUAAGAUCAAAAUUAGAAUUAGUUUUCAAGAAAUAAGCUUUUGCUCUUUUUGAUUUUAGUAUCUCUAAAAUCAUAAAACUAAUUCUAAACAUCAUAAUGGGAUUUUAAAAAAAAAUUUACCAAACGCUCUAAUAAAAGAAAAAAUAAUUUUGAUGGUAAAAUCACUUUCUAGAAUCUAGACCAAAUAGAAUAUAUUUUUUAACGCUUGAUGUAUUAAAAUAAAAAAAACAGUCAGAUAGAUGCGAUCUUCAUUAUUUACCUUGUGGAUAAAAAUGCAAUAAAUCAAAAAUUAUGAUUUCGAGGACUAUUGAAUGCAUCAGUACGACGUUCCAAUAAAAAUUGCUAAAAUUCAUCCACCAAAAAUUCGUGAUCCUCCACAUACACAAUGUGCUUAAAAAUCUUGCGAGUAACCGCUACCUGGCAGUAACUGUUUGUUUACCCGGAAGCUUUCUCAUGACGUUCAGUUGGUUUGACACUCCUUUCAUACCUUUUAUUUACAAGAAAAGGACCUGCAAACAACUUAAUUAAAAAUAUGAAAACAAAAAGAAAAACAUAAAUAAAUAUAAUGCUUCCAUUUAGGAUAAGAAAAAUAUUAUCUCUACACCCCAUAUAGAAAUGUACAUCUAUGUACACUCACAUCCGCAGUUUAAAAUACUUUCUUUGAUUUUUCUGUAAAUAAUAAUAAUAAUAAUAAGAGUAGCGAGUAAAUCUUACCAUAAAAAGCGUAGAGUAUAUAUCUUAUAUCUAGAUUAUAGUUACAGAUAUACAGAUAGCAUUAUUUAUAGGAUCAUAAGAUGAAUUGCACCACUAGUCCUCAUACUUUCAGUCAAGUUUCAUUAUAGUUCGAACCGUUCAAUUUCAAUUGUAGUAGUCUCUAAGAUUUUCAAAAGGUUACACUUUAGUUCUUUUUUAUAUUUACUAUUAUAUGGUAAAUUAUUGUUUACACUAGUGCGUUGUACAUCUACAAGCCAUAUGUUUAUCAACUAUAUUUUUCCAUGGCAUAUUUCAAUCAUGUCAUCAAAGUCAGGGCCAAAAUUAAACUAGGGCCUAGAUUGAAUCUUAUUAAAAGUUCAAAAUCUUAAAUAAAAAAUUUGCAAAAAUAAUAUGAGGAUUAAAAUGAAAAUCGACCCAACGUGUAGGGACUAACCGCGCAAUUUUACCCAUUGUACUCGUGUCUUCCGAACGAUUUGUUCUUUUCCACUUAUUAAUUGGGUGGCAAUUUUGAGAAUCCAGGUAAAAUCAAGGAUAUUUCAUCUGGUCCCUAACGCGAUGGUCAAAAAUAAUAAUAAGAACGAAAAGGAAACAAAACAAAAAAAAAAAAAAAAAAUCUAUCUUCGCAUCUCAGAGCUUGUUUGGUUUUUUAUUCAACAAAGCAAUUGGUGUUCUUGGACUCCGAAAAAAAUAGAGAAAAAAGAGGGGAGAGAGAGUCUCCUCUACACCUUCCAAUCUCUCUCUCUCUCUCUCUCUCUCGUUGUUACGGGAUCUCGUCUCUUUGACGGGGGACACCCUAAUCGCCAUGGGCGUAGACGAGCUCUUCUCCUCCAUAGAUUGGGAGCGAGAAGCUUAUCCAGCGUACGAGGACUUCGUUUCCCUACCCUUCUUCGUCCUCUUCUUCCUCGCCAUUCGCUUCUUCCUCGAUAGAUACGUGUUCGAGGUGCGUCGCCGUUUCCUUGGAUCUUUUGAACUGGUUUCUUUGAUUUGGGAGAUUGGGAAUUGGAUGAUAAUUGGUACUUCGGGAAAAUAUUCGUUUUUGUGUCUUUCGAUCGCGAAUUUAUUGGUCAAGAUUGGGAGGAGUGCCUUGAUUUCUCCUAGAAGCUCUGUGAUAGCCUGAUAGGAAGAGGGGGGUGCUUGGGCUCGAUGAGAUGGUUGGAUUUGGGCAACUGUGGUUUUUAGAUUCGCGGUGUAUCAAUAACUGGAAUUUUUCGAUCUUAGUCUGGUUUUAUAUGCGAGGUUAUUUUGUUAUUUAGUUCUUAACUGAGCAAUUUUGAUCCGUUUGUUCGAAUUUUGAUUUCAGAAUCAAAAAAAGAAAAGCUCUGUCUUCGGGCAUUAAUAAUUAAUUGCAUAUCUUUUAAAAUUAACGGACAGAAAAGAACUGUACUGAUGGUAGCAUUUGAGUACUUCUUGCAAAUUUGUAGCAUUAGAUUGUAAUUUUAGCAUUACCCAUAUCUUUUGAGUUUUGGAAUGUGAGCUGGAAUUUAUAAUUGUGGUAUGCUCAUUUGGUAGUCUUUUGUUCUCUUUUUGUUCACAGAAGUUAGCGAGGAGACUUAUAAUUGGAAAGGGAAAUGAAAAGCUUAAUCUUGAAAUAGAUGAAAGGAGAAAAAAGAUCAAAAAGUUUAAGGAGUCAGCUUGGAAGUGUGUUUACUUCCUUUCUGGAGAACUGCUAGCUUUGUCAGUUACAUAUAACGAACCGUGGUUUACAAACACCAGAUAUUUUUGGGUUGGACCUGGAGAGCAGGUUUGGCCCGACCAAAAGAUUAAGUAAGAUAUAAAUAUAUAACUGUCUUUCUAUUCUUCAAAACACUAUUGCCAUCUUGGGGAACAAACUUAGUAAUGAAGGCCUAACAGCCGAGUAUUUCCUGUUCCCAGAUAUAAGCUCAAGGCUGUUUAUAUGUACGCUGCUGGAUUUUACACAUAUUCAAUCUUUGCUCUUAUGUUUUGGGAAACAAGGCGUUCAGACUUUGGAGUGUCGAUGGGUCAUCAUGUGGCAAGCGUGAUUCUGAUAGUGCUGUCUUACAUAUUCAGGUUUGUCACAUACUGUCGAUGUUUGUUGGUGUCCUGUUAUCAGCUGCUUCCCUAUCCACCAUAUGAAACCAAAGGAUCGAAUUUUGCUAUCUUGAAAGACAUCUUGGCUUGUGUUUAGUAUAAUUGAGAAAUCAAAGUUUGAUAUUAGUAUCCUACAGGUUAAAACUGUCAACUAACUAAUCCCAUCUGCACAGGAAUGAUGACUAGUUAAUACGUAGAGAUUGGUCAGAUCAAACAUGUGCACAAUGUUUGUCAUAAAGGAGUCAUUUUUUCCAACUUGGAAUGUCCAUGCAUACAAAUUUUCAAACUAAAAACUUGUUUUUGCAUCCCGCUUAAAACUACUCAUGAGAUUACGAUACAUCUGUUUGACAAGAUCCUCUCAUAUAUGAUUCCAGUGAUGUUUCACAUAUAUCACAUUUAUGCCAUACAGUUCAAUAUAUUAUCUUCACAGCAUACCAAAGUACCUAAUGAGAUUCCGAUACCAAAGUAACUACUUAUGAGAUUAUGGUACAUCUGUUUGACAGGAUAAUCUCAGAUAUGAUUCCAGUGAUAUUUUACAUUUUUCACAUCUAUGCCAUACAGUUCAAUAUAUUAUCUUACAGCGUGCCAAAAUCGAAUCUUUUUUUAGCCUUGCUCCCUCCUAUGUUGUGAUGCAUUAUGUUUUUCCCUAUUUAGCAACAUAUCUUGGGAGUCUUUAGCGCGAGGGAUGAUGUCAUGGAGGGUAGGAAAAUGAUGGGGGAAUAGAUGGAUGGUUUGGAUGAUUAUUAGUUGAUGGAAAUUAAGUCGGCGGAUGAAAGGAAUAUAAAAGGGUAGGAUGUUGGUUUAGGAGCCUCCUAUAGCACACCAAAUGAAUGAGAGAUGAGAGGAAGUUGAGAGUGGAGGUAGCUGGCUGGAGGGAUUACUCUGCUUGCCUUUUUGUUGGAGGGAGGAGAAGGAUGGAAAGCUAGUGAUGAGGGCAUUUUUUUUAUAAUUUAUUAAAAUGGUAACUCAAAACUUUACAUGACAGCACAUCAUCUCACCAAGCAAACAUUUGUCAAGUUAGAGUAUGACUUUUUACUUUCUAGCAUCAUCAUUUUGUAGUUCUUUUAUGUUUGUUGUGUAGCAUUUAUAGCAGGUCCGCAUCAUCAUUAGAAGGGGGCGAAUAACUUUAUAGACAUGAAUGCUCACAUACACUAACGAGUCCUUGAAGUUUUAAGAGUAUUUAUUUGCAUUUUGCUAUUUAUUUAAGAUAAACUUAGUGAUAAAACAUUGCCCAAGUCUUUGAAGUUGAUAUUGUGGUUCUGGCAAGACUUGCAGUAGAAAUUUGACCUGCGGUUACAGACUUACAGUAUAGGUUAUACUUACAGGUCCCUUUUAUCCUUCCUUUCCUGUUUCUCUAUUACUACGAAGUGUAUCAAAAAAGUUUCAGUUAUUUGGCAUCUUAAUGUUGUCUGCCUCUUCAAACAGAUUUGCUCGUGUUGGUUCCGUUGUCCUAGCCAUUCAUGAUGCAAGUGAUGUGUUUUUAGAAAUGGGAAAGAUGGCUAAGUAUAGUGGUUGUGAAGCAGUUGCUUCCGUCUCAUUUCUUCUGUUUGUCGUCUCUUGGACUAUUCUUCGCCUUAUAUACUUUCCAUUCUGGAUUCUCAGAAGUACCAGGUAAAUAUGAAUUAUUGGAUGGUGAUACUUAAUUGAAUGCUUUUUCUGAUUGGUUAUUCUCACUAGUCACUAAUAUGCUAACUUUAGAAGCGAUGAGCUAAGUUAUAUAUUGAAGCAUUAUACAUGUGACUGUCAAACAAUCACUUCUAUAUUUGUAGUCAACUAAUAUCUAGGUGUACUGAUUGGUUAUUGUCACUAGUCACUAUUGUGCUGACUUUGGUAAGUGAGGAGCUAAGUUAUAUAUAGAAGCAUUGUGCAUGUGACCGUCAAACAAUCACUUCUGUAUAAAUGAUCAAUUAAUAUCUAAUUGUACCGAUAUUUAUACAAUGAGUUGUUUACUAUAUUUUCUAGUUUGCAAAUAACGACACUGAUAAAAUGAUGUAUCUAUUGUACUACAAGCAGCUAAACUCUUAAAAGUGCUUAUGAGCUCCAUUGGAACUCGACAGGUAUCUAUACACGAUUGCAGAGUUACAGAGACUAGAUACUCCGAUAGGAUUUAAGAUUUAUUUUCUUGUUAGCACUCCAUCUUAAAUGCUAAAUUUAACAACAAUAUUCGAGUACAAUGCACUGACUAUAUGCAGUAAGGUGGAAAGUGAUGUGGCAUAUAUUGAUGCUUUGCAUGGUGUAAGUUUCAUCACUACGAUUCCUGACUACAAUGCACCGAGUACAGUGCUCCUUGAAAAUCAAAAAUACAUUUCAGAUACCUUGUAUGGUGUCAGUUUCAUAGCUAUUUCUGUUAAAACAAGACUUCAGAGAGGAGAGAGGAAAAAGUGAAACACUUUCACUAACAGUUCCUGGGUCAGUUGUCGCCAAACUUUAAUUUUUUCAAGAAUACCCAUAACCAUCACUGAAAAGUUUUGAUUUUGUUACUAAUUCAUGUAAUGAAUCAUUUUGUGAUGAUUGAUCAAUUACUAACUGUUUUCUGGUAGGUCAGGUGUUUUGUGUUUUAUCUUAUUAAUUGUAUUUUGUCAUGUUAGGUGUUGUUCCUGAAAGAAGAUAGUUAUUUCCUUCGUUCAAUCUACCUAUCACAAUUAUGGAGUAAAUAAAAACUAAGGUUCUGCUUGGAUGCAUAGAUAUUACAUCUUCUUGAUUUACUCACGAAGCUAGUAAUAUUUGGUAGAUGAAAAAUAUGGUCAAAUGCCUAGAGUGAAAUACCACAUUCAACCUUCAAGUUAUUUUUCCAAUAAGAUAAAUUACAUCAUAGCUGAAAUAUGCAAUUCUACCGAAUCAUGGAUGUCGUGACUUUUUAGUUUUUAAUGAGAAAAAACCAAAUUCGUUACUUCUAAUCACACAAGAAAACUCUCAUGCUGAACAUAUUAUCAUUGGAUAACUUAUUCCAACAUCCAGACAAGACCUAGCAGUGUUGAAUAAGUCAUCCGAUGGUAACUUAUAUAAUAUAAAAAUUUUGUGGUGUAAUUGGAAUGUAUGAGUUUGAUUUUUGCUCUUCAAAAGUUUUGACAUUUAUGAUUUGGUAGUAGAGAAUAUUUCCCCAGUGAGGUAAUUUAUCUUAUUUUAAAAAGAUGACUUGAAUGCAAAUAUGUUAUUCCAGUCUAGGUAUUUGAUCAUAGUUCUAACUUUCAAGACAAUAAAAAAUGCUCAUACCGAAUAGGUAUUACUAGAUAAAUUAUUUUGACAUCCAAACAUGGCCUAAACAUUUGCACUACUGAAUUAUCAGAGGACUUUGAAUUUGUCUGCUUAAUAAUUUUGUGGCUCAACUUGCUAAGGCUAAACACCAGUUUCAAAUUGGAUGCUGAAUCAGUGGUUUCAUAGCAGGAACGUUGGAGCACAUUUAAUUGAUUUCAUUUCUUUUCAUCUUAUCUUUAUUCAGCUACGAAGUCAUAUUGACUUUGGACAAGGAGAAGCAUAAGUUUGAAGGACCAAUAUACUAUUAUGUGUUCAACUCACUUCUGUUUUCGCUGCUCGUUCUCCACAUAUAUUGGUGGAUUUUAAUGUUCAGAAUGCUUGUAAAACAAAUCCAAUCGAGAGGCCGUGUUGGGGACGAUGUUAGAUCCGGUAAGUAUCUUGUGCCGAGAUCUAAAGAUAUUAUGCUGACAUAUAUGUUAUCUGGGAAGGAAACCCUGUACUACUGAAUUUGUUAGGCCUAUUUAAUGUUAGAAAACAUUAAUACUGUAAUACAACAUAGUAUUAAUCCAAUGUUGUUGUAUAUGCAGAUUCUGAAGAUGAAGGGGAACAUGAAGAUUGAUUUGGGAUCGCUUUCAACUCCAUUUUCUUUGCCCAGAUGGUGAUUUUGUGGUGUCGGUAGAUCGACCAAUUUUAUCAUCCUAAUUUAUUUAUUUAAUGCUAGUCACUAGAUGUAAGAUGUUUUGUCGGACAUUUGGAAAUGGAUUAGUCUUAUUCUUUUUUCUUCAGAUUAACACCCCGGCCACGACUCACUUUUAGGGUCUGAGGCCUUUGUAUCAUGUAAUUUUGAUGUUGAAUAAUCGCCUCUAGGGAAUGCUUGUAGCAUGACUUACCAGGCAUUGAUUCUGUUGGUUGUUCAGAUAUUGAAUUCAUGAAAAAUUAUUGGGUCGCAAUGUUAUUAACAGUACCGGAAUUGUUAGACAAUUACAAUAACCAAAUGGGGGAUGAGAAAAUUAAGUUUUAUGCAAUCAUUGUGCAAACAAUUUGAAGUAUUUUGGCCAAAAUACUGGUGUUUUCCCUGUAAGACACUGACGUUGUUUGUUCAUUUGUGAGCAAAGUGUGAUUAGCAGUAUAGGAUAUAUAAAUGGGCCGGGUACAAAACGGUCCUGACCCGAGCUCAACCCAAGUAGGCCUAGAUCCAAUUAGCUUGGCGAGUUUUUGUUUUAUGGGAUUUAGCCAAACCCGGCCUUUCUCUUUCCUUUUUUUUAGUUUUUAAUUUUGUGUGUGUGUGUGUAAAAUAUUUGGACAUUAUUCAUGGAAAAAAAAAAUGAAAACUUCUUCUAACUAUUUAGAGUAAUUCAAAGAUUGUUGGUCUACCGGCACAAUCCGUGUCACUAGCGUAUUGGUAUAUAAUGACAUAAUUUUUUAAAUUUUUUAAUAAAAAACCAAUUUUUAUUAGAGUAUUUGAAUAUUUCUAAAGGUUAUAAAAAAUAAUUUAUAUAUCGUGCGUCACACAAUUAAGUAAGGAUAUAGUCAAAAUAACCUUAAUAACUAAAAAAUCAUUUAACAUUAUUAUAAAACUAUAUGCAUGAAAUCAAAAUUAAAAGUAUAAUUGAAUUAAAAUAUAUAGAAAUAUAAUAUUAUAGGUAAAAUCACUAGAUGUAAAAUGAAGGAAAAAAUUAGAGAAGAUCUUCUUAUUUGUUCACUUAAAAUUAAUUUUAUAAUGAUUGGCUCUAAAUCUUAGGUUUCGUUUGGGAUUGCGAGGAGAAUGCGUUUAGUAUAGUGAGAAAAUACGAUGGAAAAAUAUUGUAUUUGUUUUCGUACGUAAUAUUGAUAUCGCGAUUAGUCGGUUACAAUAUAUCCACCGGAGAAUGCAGAAUCAUAUUUCUAUAUAUUUUUAUUCCAAUUCUAUUUUAUCUCAUAGCGUCAAUACCAAAUUAAGCUUUAGUAAAUUUGCAAUAUCUACAUAUCUUAAGUAUAUAUAUAAAAAAAUAAUAAAAUUUUUAUUCUCAAAAAAUUUAAAAAAUUUUAAAAAUAUGAAAAUAAACCUAUUUUAUCGAUAAAGAAUUAAGGCGAUCUCACACCAUGUGUGCACAGUUUCAGCAUGGUCUGACAUUGGUGGCACGUGCAAACCUCAACGUUAUAUGUCUUCUUGUAAGCUCUGCGAGUCAAAAUGAGUUAUACAAACUUUAUAAUCAAUUCAUCAUUCAAAACUAUAAAAACAAAGAAAGAAUCUGACAAGCUUCACUCACAGGAAAGCCAAAUAUAUAACUGUGACUACGCUUAAAAUUAUCAAAGCAUCCAAACAGACAAAGACACGUGAGUUAUUUAAUUUUUAUGUGACUAAAAAACAUAAAGAAGAGAAAAUAUGUUGGGUUCGAUCGAACAUUUAUGUUCCAAAAAAAAAUCAAAAAUCAAAAAAAAAAAAAAAACUGGUACACCAAAUUGCAAUGAGAGAACAGAGGCCUCUUUGGCAUUCUCAAGCUCGAAGGCCGAAGUACGGAUUUUGCUGUAGUGGUAAUUAAUUAUCGUUGUUUUGGAUCAUUGCCAUUGAAGUCGCCACUGCACUCUCUGAUAUUUUUUUGUACUAUUUAUAUAUCUCCUAAAAAGAAAGGAUGAGUUUACGCAUUUCGAUCGUGAAGUCGCCGAUACCGCUCACGAGCAAUGCCGAGUUCAUUUAACUCGUCAGUGCAUUACGGCGACGGUGCCAACAAAAUAAAUGGGCCCUAUGCUCACCUUUUUCAUAAAUACUAGAACAAGGAUUUAUAUUUAUUAUUAUAAUUGCGUUAAUUAAUUAACAAAGUAAAUUGGUCGAUUGACGAAAUUUCACUUGGCCCGGUUUAAUAAGCGCAGGAGAUAGCAAGCAAACAACAUUUUGUAUGGUAAAAAUUUUGUGAGAGUUUGGCAGAUUGAAGGAAAGAUUAAAACGUACAGAAAUUAUCUUAAUUAUUAAUAAUUUUUAGUCAGCUACCGUAUUUUCAAAAUUUUUGUUUUACUAUCUAAUUUUUCAACUUAUUUUUUGAUUUGAAUCAGACAAUAAUAUUUUUACUUCAAAAUUUAAACUAAUUAAUUAUUUUAUUACAAUUAUAAGAAUUAUAUGAAGUAUAAUAUAAUAAAUAAAUCGGUAAGGAUAAACAAUGCAGCUAAAUUUGAAAAAUCAAAAUAUUACUGACUGACUCUGAUUUAAAUCAAAUAAAUUAAAAAAUUAAAUAAUAUAAUUAAAAUUUUAAAAGAUUAAAUAGUUGACUCAAAAUAAUUUAUAACUAAACUGAUUUCACUGUGCUCUUAUUUUGAAAGAAUUGUGCUCACCGUUAGAACUUAAUUAGAGGUGUCUCGCCAGUAAGGUUUAUUUAUUUAUUAUUUAUUUUGUUGGUGGGAAAAGUAAGAUCUCUUAAUUGCAUCAUUCCUCUACUAGACUAGUGAUUCGAUAUGACAGCCUAGAACGAGGUGCAUGUUCCGCUCAACAACUAUACAAAGCGUUCGGCAGUAGUAGUCCUCAGCCCCAUACACUGUAGGGAAUUUAUUAAUCUCACAUGUUGUAUAAAUGCAUUGUAACCGCAAAGAAAAUAACACCCGAACCAAUAGUACUCUGAAAAUAACACUUCCGUAAUGCUACGACUUUGUCACUAAAAAUUUUUUACUUAAAUAAUUUAGUUUGGUAAACUUUAAAUUUAAGCAUAAUAUAAUAUGCACUCUAUUUUAAUCUUGUUUAAACAAUCAUAUCAACUCUACUGUAUGCUAAAUGACAAUUUUUAUCACAAAAUGGUCGUUUUUUUUGCUGCUUAUACUCGUGUAUUAAAGUCCCUUGCAACAAAAGAACCUUUCUUUACUGCAUAAAGGCUUUCAUUCACUUUGCUUUCUCUUGCGACAAUGAGCAGAACAGUGCAUGGGAGACAGAAGAGCAGCAGUGGAAGUUCAUAUGACAACCUCAGUUACUAUUAUUAUUAUUAUUAUUAUUAGCAAUAUGUGAUCUAAAGACUCAAAAAGCCUCAUGAAUCCAGAUGGGAUCCUUCAAUUAUUUUAAUAGGGGGAGGGGGGAAUCUAAAAAUUGUUGGGCCUGAUGACAAGACAGGGAACGAAAAAUUGUUGGGAAAGGUGUGAGAGACAGUUGUGAGAGGAUGGGCUGUCUUUCCUACCUAUUUAAGGAGCCUCUGGACCUCUUCUGUAGGAGAAUUAAAGGAAGAUGAGAUAUUUCAAAACCAUGGCAUAAAAUAAUAUCUGAAGAGGGCCUCUUUCAUUCUUCUGAUAACUUGUCAGAUGGUUCAAACUAUUCUUUGAGUUUCCAGGUGGUGGACUGGUGGGUAUUCAAAUUCAGCUCAUUUAAUGAUGUGGGUUUUGAAUGAUAUUGGUGAUUCAACUCUUACUGGAUUGUAUGGCCUUGUCCUCAUCUUUUAUUUUCUAUAUAUAUAUAUAUAUAUAUAUAUAUAUAUAUAUAUAUAUAGAGAGAGAGAGAGAGAGAGAGAGAGAGAGAGAGGUAGGUCAGAGACAUAAAAGUUCUUUUGGCAGUGACAAUUUAAGUGUGUUAUAGGUGACUGGUCUAUUUAUUUGCCUUGCCCAUUUAAUAGGUUGGAGAUAACAAUUAAUACAUUCCCUCUCUUCAUAUAUCUGGCUUUGUAAACAGUUGUCUCCUCCUUCAAUCCUUGUGGCCUAAUGGAGUCCUCCCAGCUCAUUGGAGAUGCUGAAGAGUGCAGCAGCAGUGAAUCUGGGUGGACCAUGUACCUUGCAUCUCCCAUGCAUGAUGAUACUAACAUGCAUGAUGAUGGUGGUGAUGGUCAUGAUGAUGGUGGUGAUGGUCAUGAUGAUGGUGGUGAUGGUGAAGUUGAUCAAGGCCAUGAUGCGGUUGCUGGUUAUUAUUGUGAGAGCAGUGGCAGCAGCAAUGCAAGUGUUGGUUGCAAUGAAGCCGAUCAUGGAGAUGACUCAUUGGCCUCUGAUGCUUCUACAGGGCCUGCUCAGAAGAUUGAACCAUGCUCGAAAUGUGAUGGUACAGAUGCCAUGGAUUAUCCCAAAGAUGAUGUCAAUGGUGAUGAUAAUGAUAAUGAUAAUGAUAAUGAGAUUUAUAGCCAGUUUUCUUCAAGCUUAUACAAGAGAAAAGAGAAGGUGGAGAAGAGGGGAGAUGGCAAAUCUCCAAGGCCUUUUCUGAAGGGAGCUGGUUCUUCCAGGAGCAGCUCUGAGGUAAGGAGGAAUAAGUUGAUUGGUAAAUAGUUUUAGAAGCUUCCUAGAUUUGCUUUUCUCUUUUCUCUUCUUUUUUUUUUUUUUCUUUUUGGCUAAGAUUGUGAAAUCUAUGAGCUAGUAGAUUUUCCUUGGGAGUUCCUCUGCAGACAACCUGAGAACAAUGAUCUUGCACAUGGAUUCAAAUGCCCUGUCAGCUGAAAUUUUUGAGAAAUAUUGUAGCUUAGUUUCUCAAGUUUCGGAACUUCUCUUUGUGGGACGAAAUGUUUGAUUUGUGACUCUCUGUAUUUAUCAUCUUGCAAUAUUGCCUACCUUUUGACGUCCAGCACGAUAUAUAAUAUAUAAACACAAGAAGCAUAAGUUGACAUACAGUUAUCAAACAGUUUCAGAAGAAAAGGAACCACUUUGUUAGACUCAGGGGUUAAUCACCUUUAUUUUAUUGCAUAUAUAUAUAUAUAUAUAUAUAUAUAUAUAUAUAUAUAUAUAUCAAGGCUUUUAUUUUCAGUCCCCACCCAACACCCCGGCCAAAAAUGGGGGGGAAUCAUUAAACAGCAUGCACAAAGUGGUCGAGUUCACUCUUUCGAUCCAAAGAGAAAACGAUUCUUACCUUCAGGUUGUCUGGGCAAUGAAGGAAAAGAAAAGCCUGUUGGGAGCCAGGGAAAAUCUAUCUAAACAAUUAAUGCACGUGCGGGGAAAAGUCACAACAUUCCUACAUUACUAGUUUCUCUACAAUCCCGUGCUGAGAAAACUAAUUUGUAUGAAGGAAUUAUGGCGCCGCUCAAAAUUAGUGGUAAAUUACUCCUGAGUCAUCCGAUCCGAUCCGAGCUAACUAUGGUUCAGAAUGCAGUAUUUUAUUAAUGAGCGGCGAGAUGACCUUUUGUGCAAAAAUUUUCUACCCUACUCACUGGAUUGAAUCCCUCUUGUAUCAGUUAUUCAUUCUUUUGCUAGAUUCCUCCAAAUAUAGUUAAUGGGUAAUUCAUUCUAAGAUACCUGGAGCAUUAGCUCUUGUACACUAUAUAAUUAAAGACACAAGUGUUCUUCCAAGUUGAAGUUGUUCAAGGAAUGACCAAAUUAUUGACCCUUUGUUGGUUAGCAUCUAUAGCUGGACCAUAAGAAAGCAUAUGCUCAGGCGGAAAGAUCGUGUUAUACCAGCUGUGGCUUGUCUUUUGUGGGCAAUAUAUUCCCUCGUGUAUAUGAUGAUGAUGAUGAUGAUGAUGAUGCAUCGUGGAUAGGCCACAAUGGGUUGGAUUUAUGAUGCCCCACAAAGCCCUCAUUAUAAGGAUAUCAAUCUGGGUAUAAGUUUACACAUGAAUCAGUUAUAAAUCAAACACCUCAUCAAUGUAAUUUUGAGGAAAGCUCGAGAUACUGAAAUAGCCAAGAUAUUGAUAUGUAUUGCUAUGUUUUGAAUAACCUCCAAAACUAGGUGUCUCGAUGUCAAUAAUGGUACCAAAUGAGAUGACUAAGAUGUGACUAUCUUCGGCAUUAAAAACAUCGUGCUCAGCGCAAGAAUGAUUAAUUAAUCAAGCCUAGCUGCAAUUAACAGAUGAAUACGGUCCCUGUAACUUUUGUUUCCGCUUAAUCACCAAUUAUAAGUUUCAUUUGAAGAAUAAUAAUAAUAAAAUCAAUACUUCAGGAGAAAAGUUGAUUUAGCAAGCAAGAGACCAAAUUUUCUGUUACAACAGUGUAAGACGGAACAUACAAGAAACAAUUGUUGUAUUAUAGGAAAUUUACAUUGCUCAAAGAAACAUUGCAUUAUUGAGAGCAAUUUCUCCCGCAAAAAAGAGUAACCAUGUGCAGUUAGAGUCUCAAGAAAAGGAUACUCUCUUAACUACUUCAGGUCGAUGUACACUAUCACUACCUUAUACUAGCACAGAGUGAUAUUUUGAGCAUUUAGACUAAUUUUCCAAUCUUAAUGCACCGAUUAUAUACUCAAAAGGUACCUAGGGUAAAGUUUUGCAUUGGCGGAACCAUAGCUGUACUAAAAUGUUCAUCUUUCAUGCCUUGAUAGAGCCCUUACCAUAACAUGCUCUCUGCUCAAUUUUCGACUUAUAGGUGUGGAUGAACAGUAGAUGAGGUUACAGUAUAACUGUUUUCAAAGGCUUUGACAAGCUAACGCGCAAAACCUGGGAUCAUGAUUAACAGAAGAAUAAAGCAAGAAGGACAUUGUAUACGAGAGAGGAAAUACUUUAGAAGUUGUAAUGAGCAAUCACCUGAAGUUGGCAUAAUUUUAGAAGAUGGAACAAGCCUUGGAAUGUGCGGUGGCUUGAUAUCUCUUGAAUCGACAACAACCACAUCAGCUGUGAGAAAAACCUUUGCAACAGAAGCAGCAUGCUCUAUGCAGCAUCUAACGACCUGCGCCGAGUUGAGCAGAUAAUUUAAGAAUGCGCAAAACUUUUUGGUAUUCAGAUUCAAGAAUUCAUGUAUAUUUAGUUAAUCAAACAUAAACAAAGGCCUUAUACUGAACAUGUAAGGCAAAGUAUUUUAUGCUUUAAUGAUCAAAAGAAAAAGAAAAAAAAGAUCUAAUUGUCAAAGUUUUUGUAUACUACCGUCUAACAUACAUGUAUAAUUGAGAAGCAUUGCUUGAUGGAAGUUUAAAUGUAAAAUCAUACAAAACAAUAUAGUUACUAGUUAGAAUCACUUUGUUCUCAUGCUUACCUUGGAUGGAUCUAAUAUUCCAGCAGCCAUCAGAUCCUCAAAACAGUUUUUGGCUGCAUUGUAGCCAUAGGUCAUAUCAUUACUGGACAGGACCUGGCGACAAAAUAAUAAUAAUAAUAAUAAUUUUGUACUUAUUAGAGUGGAAAAUAAUCUUCACUAUCAAACAUAUGCCUUGUAGAUACUUGUAGAAACCUUUUCCACUACAAAAUUUCCAUUCACACCAGCAUUUUUUGCUAUUAAUUUUGAAGGAUAAGAUAAAGCCUGCUUAAAGAUGUCAGCACCAAUCUGCAGAAGCAAAAAAAAGAAUAUCAGAAGCGAGCUCAGAGCAUUAUUUCCCCAACAAUUAUCAUGAGUUUUAACUUUUACAAGUUUUAUACUUGAUUAGAGGGUUUAGGUUUCAAAGAUUACCUUUAUAUUGUGUGCAGAUUGGGAAUAUUUUUGUUUAGAUUUAGUUUAUAUUUUACAUAUGUUUACACUCACUCCGUAUUAGGGAAUUAUUUUUCCUAUCAAAUAAUUAAGAGAAAACAGAGAGACCGGCACCUUCUGCUCCUCGUUAUCCAAAGAUUCUUUGAUACUGUCCACCUUCAUAGAUAACCUCAAUAGGCUACAUCCACCACCAACAACAACACCUUCCUCAAUAGCUGCCUACAAAUAGAAGCAUUUGUGGUGAAACCAAACAAUGAUGAAAAGAAUAUGACUUAAAUUUAACCUACCUUGGUUGCAUUAAGAGCAUCUUCAAUUCUUAGCUUUUUAUCUUUCAAUUCGAUGACUGUCUGUGCACCUACCUGUCAAUUACUUUGUAAAGUCAACUCAGCACAUUGUAGCACCAUUUCUACACUUUCUUUUGUGUCUACCAUAAAAGAUCAGAUAAGAAACAUAUCGAACUCAAAAUACUUCAAAUGGCACACCUGAAUAAUUGCAAUCCCACCAGAUAGCCUUGCUAUUCUUUCAUUCAAUAUUUUCUUCUUGAACUUCUCAUCUGAGUUCUGAAAAGAGAAGAUGAGCUGUGAGUUGACAAUUAAAUGAGGGUGACAAGGAAGUCUAGUAAAGAGCAAGAUGUGAAGAGCAAGAUGUGAAGUAUAUAACUACAUAAGUCUCAGCAAACUGAGAGGAUCUAUGAAGUUGAGGCAAGAAAUCCUUGCGCGCAGAAUGAUAAUUGAACCAGAACAAGUUUCAUGUAUUCUCACAAACCAAGCGAGGCAGGCUAAGCACUUGUACCUCAGCAAGACUUCUUAACUGAACAACCCUCUUUUCAACAGCAUUUUGGGUGCUUCGAUCAGUAACAACUAAUGUCGAGUCCUUUGUAACCACCACCUUAGCUGCACAACCCAAGACUUCUUUUCCAACCUUUUCAAGAGUCAGUCCCAUCUCAUCUCUUACUACUUUACCUGCAAAAUAAUAAACAAAUCUGAAGAAAAAAUGGUAAAGAGAGGUCAAAUAUAACACAAGAAACUCAUAAAGAACUUCCUCUGAUUUGAGACGAACUUUAGCAGCUUUAAUGUACAUAAACUCGAGACUACUUUAUACCUCCUGUCAAGACAGCAAUGUCAUCUAAGUAGUCACUCUUGCGCUGUCCAAAAGCAGGAGCUUUAAUAGCAGCCACCUUUAAAACACCUUUUAGCUUGUUUCUUAUUAUAGGAGCCAAAGCUUCUUGUUCGAUAUCCUCUGCAAUAAUCAGGAGCGGAUACUUUUCUUUUACAGCACCAUCCAAGAUCUUAAACAUCUCCCUCACAUUUGUGAUUUUUUUGUCAACCAAAAGUAUCUGUGUAGAAUCGUCGGACGCUGCUAAUUACUUGGUGGAGUAAUACAAUUUUCAUGAAAGCAAUUUAGUACUCACCCUGCUGUUGUUGAACUCCACAGACAUGUUGGUGCGAUCAGUAACAAAGUAGGGCGAGAGAUAGCCACGAUCGAAUUGCAUCCCUUCAACAAUCUGCAAAUGGUUCUCGGUGCAUCUUCCAUUUUCGAUUCUCACGAAACCUUUUUUUCCAACUCUUUUAAGGGCAUCUGAUAUCAUGCUUCCUACACUGUAAUCAUUCCCAGCGCUAACUGCUGCAACAUCAGCAAUUUCACGGUCUUCAAUCUACAUGAUACGAUUCCUAUAAGGUCACGUGUCCCAAAAAUCAUACCAAAUUAUGUGCGGUGAACAAAGAACUAGAGCACCAUAUAUAGUGACUAAUUAAAUGUAAACAGACUUUUUUUAACAAGAUAAGUAGAUAGUUUUCGAAUUUCAGUGAAGUGCUCGGAAACAAUAAAGAAGCUAAAGUAAACAUGUAAAAACUUCCAGAUUCCAAGUGCGGCCGCUACCUAACUAACGGAUAUCCUCGCUAGAUGAUUUAUGCAAUAUGACCAAAAGAAGAAAAAAAAUGAAUAGAUUGUACCUCCCUCGUCAUCAAUCUAAGUUCAGAGACCAAAGCCGUAGCAGUCUUCUCGAUCCCGCGUGCAAUUUGGACCGGAUUCAUUCCUGCAGCGAGUACCUAAUUUGUGAAAAUAAUCAUAAGACCAGAGCUACGACAGCAUUAAUAUUUGUUGUUAGGAAUGGCCAGAACGUUUUAUAUCCUCUACAGUUGCUCCGUUGCACUUCAUAAGGAUCUAAAAGAAGGGAAGAGAAGAACCAUACCUUUACUCCUUCAGAAAUUAAACCUUGCGCGAGGAUGAUAGAAGUAGUGCAACCGUCACCGGCAAGAUCGUUUGUCUUUGCUCCAGCCUGUCUCACCAAUUUGACACCAAGAUUCUCCAAAGGGUCCUCCAAUUCAACCUUGUUCAAUUGGGAAACAAAGCUUUAGUUUUUCCGGUAAACUCUUAUCUCUUUCUAACAGUGAGUUCCUCCAAAGAACUUUCAUUCAGUUAUCUACUGGAUUGAAUUUCAUUCCAACUCCAAAUCCGCGCACCAGCAUACCUCCUUGAGUACAGUCUCUCCAUCAUUAACAAUCUUGGGAGGGCCAUACUUGUUCUGCAGCACCACAUUCCUGCCCUUUGGGCCCAGAGUAACCCCAACCAACCGCGCCACCAAGUCCACUCCAACCUACGAUUCGUUGAAUAUAAAAUACCGAAACAUAGAUGAAACAAAAUUCCGAGUUCAAGCUUUUCCAGAAUCCUAGCCUCAUGAAAAUUUCCUCUCAUUUAAGAACUCGAUUAAGAGGGAGGGAGGAAUGAUUACCUGGAGCUUCUUGGUCACAGAGAGGUCGCGGUUGAAGUGGAGCUCCUUAGGGGUGGGCUUCGGAGGGGCCCCUCUCCCUCUCCUGGGAGAGAAAGGCAUCUGGGGAUUAGUGGUGAGAGGAGAUGGAGAAAAAGAUGACAUUGUUUCAGUUGCUCCUCUGUUCUGCUGCUGUAUGUUGUGGGACUUGAGACUUGAGAGCGGGGGGUUGGGAGGGAGAGGGUAGGAUAAGGGACUGGAACGCCAAAAGGAGUGGGUUCGGUUUCAGGCGCCAAAAAUAUCUCCAAAAUUAUCUUCGUUAUGAUGAGUCAUACAAGCAAGAUCUUCUACUUGGCCGUAGUUUUUUCUUGGGCUUUUUCCGAUAACCUGACAGCUCUAUUUUUGAAGGGUCUGGUUUUGGCUUAGAGCCGUGACCUUUAAAAUCCGCACCACAGCAACCUGCCAAUUAGAGCAAUGUACUCGAUCAAAAACAUUUAAAUUAUUAUCAUUGUUUUUCUUUUAAUGCUAAUCAGAAGCCUUUAAAAUUCAGGAAAUGUCCUCAGAAGCUAUCAACAUUAACACAUUAACACUUCAAGAUGAACAUUCUAGAGAAUCCAUAAAAAUUGACUUAAAUGUGUUGGCAAUUUAAGGCCAAGCUUAAGCACGCAGAAAAAAGAAAAAAAAAAAAAAUUAGCGGCAAGUUCACCAAACUUACCAUUUUGAUUUUGUUACUAACAUCCAACCUGUAAUAAUGCAUACAGUUAAGUUAGAACAACAGUUUAGUUGGAACACACUAGAUUGCCGGUUUCAAAUAGAGAUACAUGAUUGAGCAGCCAAAUAAAGUAAUGAAGCAACGAGCAGAAAAUUACACAGGAAAAUUACACUCAAACGAUAACAAAUAACUCAGUACUUCUCCCUUCUACUGUACACCUGGCGGUUUAUUUGCAAUUGUUGUUAGUAUAAGAAUGACAGCUAAUGUAUAGUGGUUUCAGAGCCCCAAAUUACAAAGAGACUAUUUUUUGGUUAUGCCUCAUUGGGUCGGCAUUUAAUGGUAGUUAAAUGAAGCGGCUCCUGUGGAAACUCGAACCCAGGAUGGUACCAUUACAACUGCACCUAUUAUUUGGUGAUUGUGCAGGCUAAGUAACAGUCGACAACACGAUCAAUCAUGUUGAAAAUCAGCUCCAAAAUGACACAUGAAAAUCAGCUCCAAAAUGAAGGAAUAUGCGGCAAAGAACUAGAAAGCUGCUUUCCACCCUUGUCAUACCAUCAGCACAUUCACCGAGAACACCCAAAUACUUAAACUGGAAGACAAAGAAUCGGCAUUACUGAAGGGCUAGAUGAGAAUAUUCCUAAUGGCUCGUAUAUAGACGUUUUCAUCCCCGUCGCUGGAUGUAAUGAAAUCAUCGCCUGCACCAGGUGCACGACAAAUAUAUCCCGCCCGCUGACAUUCUGCCAUUUUUCGUAAUUAUCAUUAGUCUUCAGGACCAGUACGGACCUUUAAGAGAGCCAUAAGAAGCAGCAAGCCUUCGUGCCCAAAAACUCUCCUCAGGUGACCAGGAUAUUGACGAACCAAGAACAGCACACCAUCUGAGAUUAAGGAGAGCUGUUGCGAGAAACUCUUCAGAUGCUUUAAAUGCAUUGAUGAUUUUUAAUUCGGCAUCUGGGUCUUCACUGUGGACAAGAUCCUCCAAAGAAGCCCUCUUUUCGCAAAGAAUAUCUUCAGAGAUCAUUCGGAUGCUUAAGACCUGCAAUGCCUCCAUUGCUGUAGUAUGCAACUCACACUCCACAUAUGCAGAGAAUGUGUACCACAGAGUUGAAGGAUCAGGUUGGAUUUUCUCUCUAUGCAUACGCUCAAUAACAUGCUCAAUUAUAUGAAGUCGUCCCUGACAUGGUGAGAUUUAAAUAAAUUUAGAUAAGGACAUAUGCUUUAUUAAAACAAAAAGGCUUGAUAAAUAUAAUAUUGCAAGAUAAGUAGGCACUUUUGCAUAUGCUUCUCGAAGUAUUGUGUUAAAUAACUGGACGUCAAGCUGAAUUCCUUCAUCCUUCGCUUUAUCCAAAAGGCUCAUUGCACCAUCAAACUCUUCAUUUGCCAAUAGGACCUGAGAAGAAAUAGAAAAACAAUUGCAGGUUUGAAUGCUUCAAAUUUUCUAUGCAACUCUCAUUCUAUUAUUCACUCAGACCCCUUUUUGGCCCUGGUCCUCAACCGACAUCAACUCUUUGAGGACCCAACCCUCACCCAGACAUAAAGUGGGAAGAUCCAAAUUUAUUUCCACAUUUCUCCUUCGCAGUUCCACUAGUAGUGGUACAUGGACCCACCCUUACUAGAUAGUAUCUCUAACUAAAAAUCAAUCAGAAAGAAAAUACCGUGUUACAUUACCCUACGUGAAAGAGACAAAUCCCAAUGAACCUGAUUUUGUUGCCCUGGAACAAUUUUAGGUGGCAAUAGUGCUAACUAAAGGCUAGGGCCUAUAUUUAAGGAGAUGGGAGCUAUGAUAGUCAUAUUUUAUUUUUAUAUUUUAGCUUGAAAGAAAAAUGGCACUGAACCAUCCCCUGCUCUUUGGUGCAUAUGUUAAAUGUCAAUUGAAACAUCACUCGUGGGUAAGAGAAUUACAUAUGGUACAAGAGAAGAGAGAACCCGUGCAAAUAUUGUCGAAUACAAUCCAGACCAAUAUAUUUAGCUUGUAUUGAAGGGAUAUAUAGAUCAUACCUUCAUAAGUGCAGUGUAUGUCAAAGUUUGCGGACAAAAACCAUCCCGAUACAUCAGGGACAGCAAAGCACAAGCAGAUCUAAAACAAGUCAGCAUACUGCAACAUUCAAUCAUAAUGUUGUAUAUUGCAACAUUGGCUGGGAGACCGCAGGCCCUCAUAUUCUUAAAGACUCUGAUAGCUGUGUGUGUCUGCAUUGAUUGACAUUUCAAUGGUGUAAAGAGUUUAUCCAACAAUGAUACUUUGAUAAGUAAAAUAAAUAUAAACAAAGAAUAGACACCAAAGAGAAGAAACGAAAAGCAGCGAAGUGCAUACAUCCUUAGACUUAACUAGCGCAUGCAGGACAGUGUUAUACAUAUCACUGUUCUGAUAAGGAUCUAUGUGCCAUAACAUGUUCUCAGCAACAUUUAAGUAGCGCAGCAUCUCCUGUAUCAUGCCCUCAGCUCCAACAGCUCUUAUCUGAAACAAUAAGAUGUCAAAGGUAAAUCAAUUAUGAUUAAUUAUGAAAUGAAAGGUCUUGUUUCAAUAUAUUUCACCAUUUGGGAGAAAAAUCACACAUAAAAGACAUACUAACAUGACAAGUGGAAAAGCGGGAGAGCAAAAUAACCAUAAUAGCAAAAGCGUAGACCGAAUAGGCCCUGUACAAUGAUUGUAAGCAGCCAAAAGCACCAGAAACCUUCUACUGAUAUUUUUACUGUAGACGGUAUACAUAGUGACAGAAAGCCACUCAAUGCUAUGAUAGAUAACAAUACCAAAAGUGACAUGAUAAUUGAUGGUUAUUUGCUUUAGCAGAUUUUAUGUGCAUAUCACAGAAUUGUUUGUAAUAGUGCUGCAGUAGCAAUAUGACAUAUAAUUGUCUGUGUUUCUUGGAAAAGACACCCCCCCCCCAAAAAAAAGAAGAAAAAAAGAAGAAAAAAAGUCAACAGGAUACUGCACCUCAUUUAUCAAUUUUCAGACAGGACUAUAUAUGCAAGAUUCGCAAAAUGCACCAACUGCAUACUUCUUUAUUGAUAAUUAAAAAGACAGAGAGCAUAGUAAAUAGAUUUUCCAUGACAAUAUUGCUUAUAAGCUGAAGUCAAUCUAAAGAUUUUGCUUGCUUAGCUUUAUGAGAAGGAUAGACACAAACAGGAAGCGAGGCAACAAUACCAGAUUCUUCAUUGACACAAAGCUGUGUUGAAUUCCAUUCUUCAACAUGUCCAUCUCAAUGAGGUGUAUCCUUCUAGCAACAUCAGCAUGUGAUAGCAUAUUUCCUUUCUCGUAAGGGACAUUGACAUUGGCAAACAAUGAAAACAUAAGCUCAUAGGUUCUGAUAUUUAAUUUGAUAUUGAAAUGCUUUAUCCUGGCUACUAUACGGACUGCCCGUUCUGGUUCAUUCUGCAAGAUGAUUUGAAAGGCUUGAGAAUCCUACUAGAUGUAUGCAUUAAUCAUAAACAGAAAUCUACAGGAUCCUAGUCAAAAUAAUGUACUGAAAUGCAAAGCAUCUUAAGCUGAAAGGACAAUCUAAUUGUACUUUGUUGAAAAAAAAAUGAUGAUCUCAUAUAACUUAAUGUUUAACAAGGAUAUAUAGGAGGAACCCAAUACACAGGAACAAAUUAAGAAACUCUUCAAAGGCAUUCCAAGAAGGUAAUUAGUUUACCAUAACAUCACAGGCAGCAAGUAAGGCAUUAAAGGGAUUGAUGAAUUUUGGUAGACUAUCCGAGAGCUUUUCCAGACAGGACUCGGCCAAAUCCAGAUCUAAAUUUCUGCUAUGACCAAUUGAGAGAGCAGCAAGUGUAUCGUUAUAAAGCUCAAUAUUCUUUUUUUCCAUUGAUUCAACCUGAAAAAAACAACAUUCCGCAUAAAUCAUAAAAACAUAAUAUAGGACCCUCUUUCUUUACGAAAACAUAUAAUUGAAUAUUGAAAUAUUGUAUUGUGCGCUGGCAAUAACUGCCAAUUCAAGUUCCAUAGUUUAUGUUUAAGAAAGGACAGGGUAUGACCCAGCUUAGGGUACUUUAGUUUAGAAAUUUGAUCUUGAAAGCAACGGCAAUACCGGGUCAACGGAGAUAGACAUACCACUUUCAUGCCAUAUGUUACUCCUUUCCCAGUAAUAACAGCUUUAACAAAGCCAUCAUAAGUAUAUCUUGAAGGUAGCAAUCCAACUUCGCGCAUCUAGAUUAGACAGUAUUAGCAAAAUUAGGUUUGAAUAUGUAUUAUUAAGGGAAUCAAAUGCUAUUUGGAUAUUUCCGUGUUACAAAUCCAGGAAAAGAAUAGUACAAAAAAGAAAAUAAUAAACGGUACAAAGUUGCUCGACAUAAUUACAAAAUUCCUUCACUGGGUUGUAAUUACAUUAAUGUGAUUUCUGCCACUAGGUUUUAAAUUAUAAAUUUCAAACCUAGUUUGGGAUUGUGAGCCAAUUUGGUCUGAACUGAGAAUGAACUCAACCCAACUGUCUCCAGGUGUAGCUCUGCUCAUGGAAUCAAAUAAAGCCUAAAAUAGAAAUAGAUACCAAGACAGACAGAUAUCUGGUGUGCAUGCUUAGUACAACUGUUUCAACAACUGGCAAAUGGCAGGAUAAAUAAGGACGGUUCUACUUCAAAAGACAGUUUAGAAGUUAAAUACAACCCAGAACAAAGCCAAUAUGAUGGAGAGGAUCAACUAGGUUAAAAUCAAGUAGUUGAGGCUAAAAAUUUACAUGCUACUUUUCUUGCUUAGAUAUACGGAUCUGAUUGUUCAAUUCACAUUUGCCUCUUAUUUCUUAGUCUGUAUAAGUCCACAUGAAUGUGCUAAUUUCUUUUGUGGGAUGGAUUUUUUGGGUUUUAGAACCAAUAAGUGCAAGAACAUAAAGAAACAACAACUUUCAAAACUUUAAGCAUCAGAGACCAAAUAGAUAAGUAUAUUCAUAUUCUUAAUAUGAAUAGGAAAAGCAUAUUGCAAACAAUGGCCUGCAGAAUCCAAUGGAACUAUACCUGCAAAAACAACUGCUCAGCUAACUGGCAGUUAUUAAACCGUGCACAGGCAUGUAUCAUAUCAUUAUAAGACCAUCUCAAGAAAUUCUUAGUUGGUAUAGAUGCCUUUUCCAACAUCUGUGCAGUACUUUCAAUGUAAAAUUCACUUUCCACCUGCACUGCAAAAUUCUAAUUAUCAAAUUAACAGUAGUGCCAAUGUAGUUCAAAACAUUCAGGGUACACAUACCUUAUCUAGCUCGUUGAAAGCAAUUUCUGAGUGAGAAAAAUCAACAACUUCUUGCUUUUCAUGGUUUACUUGAAACGCUGGCAAGGGCAAAUUUGCAUGUGAGAAAAAUCUGAGUCCUGAUAAAUCAUUCAUUGCAGGAAUAGGAAUAUCUAAUCUUGAUGAUUGGUACCGCCUUUUGGCAGAAACUGUAAGAGUGGCACUGUUUUGCCCAGCAAGGGUCACCAUAUAUUGCAAUGUCUUGUGUGCAGAUUCUAGAUCACCUAAUCUAGUGAGGGCCUGUAUAAAUUUUCGUAGUGUUAUGAUGCUUGGGUUAUAGUACCUAGUGCAAUCCUCCCAUAUCUCAUAAACUGCAGAAAGAUUUUUCUGCAACACAGCAAGCUGCAAAGGACAAAAUAUAAUCAUGACAAUUAAAGGAAGAACAAUAACCAAGAGAAAACAUGUGGUAUUCAGAAAUUAACAAAAUUCUGAAACAAAGAAUCUCACAUUAUCUCCCUAUGAUCCAAGAACAAUGCAAGUAUUUGACAGAAGGAGAAAGAACAGCUCAACCAUCAAGGAACUAAAUAUUAUUGUACAAUAAUAGGAGAUCAAGAACGCAACAUAAAAGCAGAUGGGAUUUCUUCAAUAAAAGACUAACAUCCAAAUUCCAAGUCUAAUUUUCCUCUACAUCACAAGUUUGUAAUACACAGGCCUGGUUUUUAAGAUAGAAAACCAAAAUCCACAGAAGAGAGUGCAAAUUUUUUUUUAUUAGCAAGACAAAAUUCAUAACUUCAUACACAUGUUGUCAUGAUGUGGAAAAUGUUUAAUUACUAGAGAUGACAACAAGCAAUAUAGCCUGUGAUUCAUAACUUCAUCCAAAGCUUGGUGUCACUAUAAUCCCCUGAUUGGCUUAUGAUUCAAACAACCAAAAAUUGACUAGCCAUUACGCAUAUUCAAUUGUGAUAAUGAUUAUCGAAACAGACUACAGGUUUUGCAUGAAACAUUUUAUGGGCCACAUAUGUCAAAGUCUUCUGUACUCAUUGUAAGAUUCAUUAUUACUAAAUCAUCUUUCUGUUUAUUACAAACCUUAAGAAGUUCCCAAUAAGUUAUUUCAGACUUCCCUAGAAGGUGGCUUUCCAUUUUCUCCAAGCAGGCCUCAGCAUAAUUCCGAUUGUGUGUACUUCCACAUACACUUAAGAAAAUAUUAAACAUUGAAAGAGAACUGCACACACGGUCAUUUUCCCCAAGAAAAGCCAGCCAAUUAAGUGCCUAAACAGAAAGAAAAGGAUUAUCAAUAAUAUGAAAGCAGAUUAUCUCUAGAAAAAACGCUUCAGAUGUAACUCACAACUCUUGUGCAAACCUUGAAAGCAAAUUGAACAGAUAUAAGUUAUUUGCACGCAUGAUAGAAAAAAGAUUUUGAAAUAAAUGUAAUAGAAAUGGCAAUGAACAGGAAAUUCAAAUACUCGAAGAGAAUGUACAAGCCAAAUUUAGAAAGCUAUUAUUUGUUAAAUUACAUUUCAAAUACUCAGCAAGUCUAAUAGCUGUGUUUCAAAAGAAUGUUCACCUACCUCCUUAAGGUAUCCUCCUUUGGUGAAGGCUUGGAUGAUGGAUCUGCAACAACUUUUAUUCGGAUCUAUUGCAUUUUGCUCCAUGACUUUCCAUGUCUCCAGAACAAACUGAUACAAACAUCCAUUUUAAUAAAAAUCGUACAAAAUAAAAUGCAUAUUUUGCACAUAAGUUCCAAGAAACCUACAAUAUGAAGUACGUGAAAAGUCAACAAGAAUGGCAAAGAGAACUACUAUUGCAUUCUAUAUAAUUAACCAAAGAAAUAAAAUAUGAAAAAGGAAAACCUUCCCAAGCAACAAAAUUACCCAACUUUGCCUCCCUAUUGCUGCAAAGUAGGGGGGUGCCAGGUUGAAAAUAUUGAAAGCAUAAGGGAGCAUUAGACCAUUGUUUCAAAUAACUCGUGGUGAUUUAGAAACUUUUACUAAAAGUUUCUUCAAUGUGAAACCAGUGGAAAGGGAAUACUGGAUAUUAAAAUUAAUGGUUUCCUUCUAGCAAAAGUGACCCUAGGAGUCUUUCCACAGAAUUUGCUUAAUAAGAGGUGUUUGAUGUACACAUUUAUGGUUGCUCAGAUCACUAGAUACUAGGCAAAGAACAAGUAAUAGAUAACAAAACAAUUUUCCUCGGCCCCAAAUUCGUAAUUCGUCCCGCAUUAAAAGGUGUUAGAAUUUUGUUUGCCGACUAAAGAAACAGAUCGCUAUCAAUAUAUAUCAUCAUAUCUUAUAUAGAACCUCCUUAACUCAAAUUGUGAUCCAACUGCCUCUACGUUUUUCCUAAAAAGGAAAUAGAGAAGAAAGGCAUGAAGUCGUGAAAAGAAAUAUGAAGCCACUAAAAACAGUCUUUCUUUCAGUGCAAUCUCUUGUAAGACAAAGCAUAUCCAGAAAUAUCAACAAGUUUAAUAGCCUUAUGGGUUUCUCCAAAUCGAACACUAAACCAACAGAGCACAAAUGCAGCCAAAAGAUACACAGAAUAGUUCGUCUGAUGUUUAAUGAUUGAAUAUCCCAAGCAAUCAAAGUCACCAAUAAAACCAAAGUUUUCUGGUGAAAAGUUGUUUCUCAUACUAUAUUAAAUGUGCAAAUGCUAAUUUCUCAGUAUCUCUUUUCUGAAUUUCAUUAACAAGUGCUUCAAGUGGAGAGAAGAAGCACAGCAUUUUACUUAUCUUAUGACAUGUAGUCAGAAGAAGAAAUAAGUAUCUUGUUGGAAGUAAACUCACCAAAGGAUCAGCAGUAUCUGCACAGUAUUCAAGAAUAUAAGAAAAAUCUUGAGCAGUUAAACAGCCACUCGCAUGACCUAGAUUCAAAAGCAUCAUCGAGGCUUGCUCUCUUUCUCCUCGACGAAGAGCAUUGACAACUUGUAGCUGUGCAAAUCUACUCACCAACUUUGCUCUCCAUCCAAAAUGAUCAUAAUCUGCAAGUCAUGGCAUCAUAUUGUGCAGCAUGAUAAAAAAUAAAAUAAAAAAUAAGCACGUCUUUAUGAAAGUAAGGCACUUAAAUUGAUCCUACAAUCCACCGAGUUAAACAUGUUUUGAUAGAACAAAUAUCCCAACUGUACAACUAUGUUUAUUUGCUAAAAACAGAAGCGUGAUGAUAGGUUGCAGAUUACUAUCCUCUAGUCAGAGUGACGCGCCUACAUUUUUUCAACUUUCAUCAUGAGCAUAAGAAUAUCAAGAUUCCCCACAGCAGCUAAACAUAGGAAGGCUUCCUAUAAUCAACCAUGUAUCUACAUAAGUUUUCUCAUUUGUCGACUCUCGAAACCAGAACCAAAAAAAAAAAAAAAAAAAAAAAAAAAAAAAAGUGAACAGAUAUCCCAGAAAAUAAUGGAAAUCUUUUAUAACAAAAUGACAUACUAAAAGUUUACAAAUUUGUUACUCAGGAUAGAAAGAACAGUUCUUGAUAUAUAAAUGGCUAAAACAUUUACGAUAUUGAUAUCUACAUUCCGACACUUCAAAAAGAGCCAAUCUAAUUUACUCUAAACAGGUAAUCAAUGUACAAAAACCAGUUGCAUAAACAAAGUACAAGGUUCUUUAAUGCCCUCAGAAGAAGUGUAGCAAUAAUACCAUGAGAGCCAUCGGUGUGGGACGUCGACUGUAAUCUAGCAGUAGGCUUUGCUUGUGCCUAAAGAAUCCAAAUUAAUAGAUCAAUUCGAUGGCUAUUCUCUAUAAGACUGCAGCAUUGCAGUAAAAACUCAAUAGCAUUAGAUUGAUGAAUUCAGAAAAAAUAUGAAAAGAAAAUAAAACCGCACUUUUCGUCGCGCUUCGCGAACAUUCGGAGAAUCAAGAGAUCGGCGAGCUGCUCUCCAUCUGAAAUCCAAGAAAGCAGAAUCAAGGAGAAGGUGAUGGCAUAAAAAGAUUGAAUCUGGGUGAUACAAGAAAAACUUACAUGUAUCCACGCAUACUCUUCGGAUAUCUUUCCAAAGGGGAUGAAAAUUAGGGGCAAUAAACGGAUAAAUGGAAACCCUAAUUAAUGGAGAAGGAGGUGUUUCGGCGAGAAAGAGUCGAUCGGGGGCCGAAUGGGAGGCGCGGCGAUUUGGAGUGUGGGUUUGGCCGUUUGGGGGAAGAGGAGGAGGAGGAGGAGGAGAUGGGGAGAGAGGGUUGGGAAAUUGAAAUUGGUCGAGGGACCGUUUUAUCAGACCUUACUAGUAGUCGAACUAAAACGGCUAAUGACGGGGUUGGGCCAGAUAAUGGGCCAAAAGCCCAAUCCGUGGUCAACUCUCACUCUAAUAAAAGUAUUCAAAUGUUGGGCCAAUCCUACAGGCCAGCACGAUUUUUUUUCGUUCUUUCUUCUAUAACCAAAAUUAUUUAAAUUUUAUAUUAUUUUUUAUUUUUUAAAAAAAUAUCUAAAAUCUGUUUCUACUGAAUAAAUAAUUAUUUAGUAUAUUUGUACAUGAUUAGUAUUAAAAAAAUUUUAAAAUGAAAUUUAAAAAGACCCAAAGACGGCUUUAGGCCCAGCACGGUGCAAACUGGUCCACGCCAAUAGCCUUGCUAGGCCUGGGAAGAGGAAUAGGCGGACCAAUACGGCUCGGUGCUGAGAAGGGCCGCCUUUGGGCCUGUGUUGGUCCGGAAAAAUGUGGAUACAGCACUCACAUUACACCUUACGAAUGGGUAUCAGCUCUCAUGUAAUGGCUUACACGUACAUGUUUGUUUUGAUGUCAGUAAUUAGAAUUCUAACAUUUUACGCGGGUGGAGACUUUCAGACCUAGUUGGCUGCUGGUGUAACAUCUGGAAUGUCCGAAACGAUUGUAUCUUUCAGAACAUCCCGCCGAACCCCGGCUUAGCGACUCAGAGACUCUUCCUGCUGCUAAAAGAGUGGGAUCUCCUUCUAGACACGUAGCAGUUUUGGACCCAACAUUUUUUUUUUUUUUUCGGCCUGUUUUCUCUCGGGGCCGUGCUGCCCCACUCUUGUAGUUUAAUUCAUCUGUUUAAUGAAUAAAGCGGGUAGCGUGCUACUUUUUUCUUAAAAAAAACAUUUUACGCGGGUGGGAGAAAAUAAAAAUUAUUAUUUAGUGAUCCACUUGACAUAAUUGAGUCCGCUACGGGUGAGCGUAAACAGUCACUCGCAAAGCUACCAACCGUCCCUAGCUAACACAAGUGGCAAAAGACUUGGUGAUUGGUAUUCGAAGUUUCAAGUUCAAAUUUUAAUUGAUUCAUAUUUUCAACUAGAUUUAUUUAUAAAUAAAAUAAAUGAAGCGCGUAGCAUACCACCUAAUUCUUAAAAAAAAAAAAAAAAAAAAUCACUUGUAAAGCUAACGAAAGAGUUGGAGCACAACUCGAGUUUACACCGACGAUAGUUGAUUAGCACUAGCAUUCAAGUACAAAGAAUUUAAAGUUGUGAUUAAUUUUAUACAGUUCCUUGCAAAAACAUCAAAUAACAGAUAAGUUUUUACAAAACUUAAAUGAUUAGAUUUACCCCUCCGAUUUUUUUUUAUUUAUAAAUAGAUCUCUCCAAAAGUUUUGGUUCAUUCGUGUAUGUUUCCAUCUUUUGAUUUAUCAUUAAUUUUUUAAUAGUGAUAUGUAAAAUAACUAUUUUAUUCUUACAAAUUUGUCACUACAAAAAUUAUCUUUAUUUUUUUUUUCUCUUCUCACCUUCACCGUGGUACAUGCGGCGUAUCUCAUUUUUGCCGCAAUCGAGAAUCUUGCUUUGUUGUUGCCACCAUAGGUUAUUUACUAUUUAGCUAAUUGUAGUUAAUUUUUAAAUUUUAUAGCUCAAAUUUUAUAUAAUAUAUUUGUUAUUUGAUAUUUUUACAGAAACUGCAUAAAUUGUCGCCAGAGAGGCCAUAGCUGCUUGGUGCAAUUUUUCUGGAACCGGACAAAUCAGCCAAGCAUUAAUUACUUGUGAAGUUAAAGGAAGAUUAUUUUUUAUUUUUUAUUUUUUAACCUUAUAUAUUUUUAGUGACAGAGCUUUUCAUAUUCAGUUGUAUCUUCUUUUUUUUUUUCCUUCUUCUUGUGGGGAUGCUCCAUCACUUACUCAUUGAGACCACCUAUACAGUCAGGGACGGAGCUAUUGAGGGGUCUACGGUGAUCAUGGCCCCCUCUAAAUUUUUUAAAAUUAUAUAAAAGUUCUUCAUAAUAAAAAUUAAAAUAUUAUAAAUUUUAAUUUUAGGGGGUCAAAUUAAUUUUUUUCAACAAAAUUUAUGUCUCAAUUUCUUUUCGAACUUCUUGAUCCUUUUCCUUCAACUUUUAGGGCGUGUUUGGUUCGAAGUCGGAAUCGUUAUCGGAAUUGGAAUCAAAAUAAGCUGGAAUCGGAAUCGGAAUGACUCAUUACCUAAUUCUGUUUGGUUCAUCACCUGAAUCGGAAUCGAAAUAAAUUAUUCCCAUUGUCGGUGUUUGGUUCAUGUGGAUAUAAAAAACGUAAUCAAAUUAAUAUACUAACAUUAUCUUUAUAAUAUAUUAAUUUAAAUUCAAAUUAAAAAUUAAAUAUUAAAAAUUUACAUCAAAAUUUUGAAAUAAUGUCAAAAUUUUAAAUCUAUUUUUUUAAAAAAAAAUUAAACUUUGAAGUUAAGUGGAUAAUUCAAAAUAUAAAACUAAAUUUCGAUUUAUUCAAAUUCAAAUUUAAAAUUACAAUUUAAAUUUUAAUUUGAAUCCAUAAAUUUAAUUUAAGUUUGAAAUAAAAUUUGAAUAAAACUUUAUAUAAAUUAAAAUUUAAUUUAAAUUCAAAUUCAUAAGUUAGAUUCGAAAUACUUGAUUAAAUUUUAAUUUUUAAUUUAAGUUCAAAUUAAAAUUUAAAAUUAUAUAUUUAAUUUUUAAAUUUUAACUCAUAUUUUAAUUAAAAAAGUUGAAAAAAUAAAUUUAAUCCGAAUAAAUAUCCAUUCCGUCCGGAUUCAACUUCCAAUCCGGCCUCCUAGGCCGGAUUGAAAAAAAAGGUGAUUGGGAGAUUCCCAUUCCACUCAGGAAUCGAAAUUAGAAUCGGACUCCCGCGUACCAAACACCCACAAACGGAUUUACUCAUUCCAAUUCCGAUUCCAGAGUGAAAAAGAAGCGAACCAAACACGCCCUUACAGUCUUGUUCCUUUUUGGCAUAUUAUCGUUAUCUGUAAAUCUGACAAAAUUUUUUUUUUUACUAUUCGAAAUUGAAUUUUUUUUCUAUCAUAUCUAAAUUUUGGCCCCCCAUCUUAAUUUUUAGUUUCGUCCCUGUAUACAGUGUUGUACCUUAACCUCAAGAGGACAUUAGAAUCUUUCCUUUCAUUACCACUCUGACAAGGAGCAAAUCACUGUGGCCUGAGAGAAGUCCUCUGUUCUCCUACACCUUCGCAAUAACAAAAUUUAUUGCUGAUUAAUAUCUUAGUUAUAUAUAUAUAUAUAUAUAUAUAUAUAUAUAUAUAUAUCAUUUUGCUUUCCAAUUUUCUGGAAUAUUUUUUAUUCUGAGCCAGUUGGAAACAGGUCAAUUUUUCAUCAUUCUCCAAAUAAAAGGAUGACAAUGACAAUCAGAAAAAUCUCAAAAAGGAAAAGAACUAAAUAUCAUAAAUUUAUGGAUUCAUCAUUUUGUUACUUAGUUAUCCGGAUUUAUUUGCAAUUAGUUUCCUCAAUAUUUUCUUGAGCACUGAGAUUUUUCUCUUCUUGUAGUUUCUGCACCAUCUUCUGGAGUUCUGAUCUCUCCUCUCUAAGCCGCGCGUUCUCGUGCAUGAUCCGAUCGCAGCCCCUCAUCGCACGGUUCAGCUCGUCGAGCAGUUGGCGGUUGGCGCUGCGGAGGUGAACCACCUGCGCCCAAAGCUCGCUUAAAUGCUUCUGCUUCCUCAUCCGCGAGCGGCGCGCGGACUCUCUAUUGGAUAUCAUCCUUCUCCUCCUCCUCUCUUCUUCCGAGCUACGGUGGCGGUCGUCUGCCUCAUCGGAAGUCGAGCCGCUACGAAGGCAAGAAACGGUCGAAACACUGCAGGCAGGAGGACUAUGAAGAUCGCUAAAUUCAUGGUUUGGCUGCAUGAUGUGGAUAUUUUGGUUGACGCAAGGCCCGAAUAUGUUGCCAAAGUGGAAGGAGGACAUGUUGUUUUGGGCCGCGUCAUAGUGUGAGCUUUUGAAGGUAGGAGUGUUCGAAGGCGAGAGGUAUCGAAUGCUCGCGACUUCGCCGGUGGGAUGCAUGGCUAGUACUCACAAGGGGAGAAAGGAAAAGCAAAAAAAGAAAGGAGGCCUUUAUUCUUGUUCUACAACUGGCUAUGGAAGGAGGGUGUAAUUUAUAGUACGAAAGGCUUAAUGAGAAGAGGUCCCCACUUCCAUUAGCCUCAAACAGUUCAUCAAUCGUCAAAUACUACUGCGGCAAAAAAUUAUACGACAUUGAUCACUCGUGAGGUAACCGUUUGGUAACGAUGCAUUAAUUAAAUGUGCUAUAUAUGCUAAAUGAAUACAUGGGUAUUUGAAGGAACCCCCAUCAGGGCCGUCGGUUCGUGAUCGGAUGGUUGUUAUGGACCAAUGGGCCCUUAAUUAGUAGCAUCACAUGUAACAGGUGCUUUGGCCAUUUAACUUGCUACUGGUUGGAUAACAGUGACAGGCAUUUUGCAAUGAAUUGAGUAGGGUAGAGAAGAAUAAUUCCAUGGUGCGGCAAAUCCACAACGGAUAAUGGCGUUAAUUAAGAUGUUUAUAUGACUAAUCGUAUAGAUAUAAAGAUGACUAGAGAGCGGAGGAUUGAUAUGAUAUACUAUUAGGUCCAAAUCUAUAAGCUUAAGUUUGAAACUUUGAAUGGUUUUCCAAUAUAUGUGCUUAAUUCUAGUGCAUGUAGUAAUUAUGCUCCGUUUAUUUCCCCAAAUGAUUGAUAAUGCAUGAUUCUCUCAAUGUUGGGUUAUAUCAAGUUAUAACCAAGUUGUGGGUGCAACUUGUUUUUUUUUUAAAAAAAAAAUAAAAUAAAAAAGGCAGGUGACGGAAUAGAAUUAGUUGCUUUCACAAAAGUGAAGGAAUUAUAUAUGAUGACCCGAGAGUCCACUGCGGUGGCGCCCUUUCGCCUCAAAAUGGGAUGGAUAAUUAGGUUCGAUGCACUGCAGGGAACGGCACUAUUUUUUUGAUCAAAAUGAAAAAAUAUAUGGACGGUUCCUAGCGCAAGUGGCAAAAGGCUUGAUAGUUGGUAUUUAAGAUCCCAAGUUCGAAUCCUAAUUAAUUUAUAUUUUCAGCUAAAUUUAUUUCUAAAUAAAAUUAAACGAAAAAAAUAACAUGCUAUCUAUCUCUUAAAAAAAAAAAAAAAAAAAAAAAAAAAAAACAACAACAACGGCCAUAAGUAAUACUUGAUAUCCUUAUCAUGAGUUGUGUCAAGUCUCUGUCUUAAGGUCUUCAUAAAUGUCCUGGGCCAUUUAUUUUUGUUACGGGAUUCAGCUUUUUUAAUCGGUCCUUUUGGUUUCUUUCUUACUCAUCUAUUACUCUUUAUGAAUCCCCAAUGUUUUAAGCUGAUAUGUCAUAAUCUCUUAAUUUUAAAAUUUUUUUAAUUUAGAAUAAUCCAUUUUAUUCUCUCUCUCAACAUACGUCUUUUCAUCUCCCCUAUUUAAUUUUUAUUUAGAAUGAACCAUUUUAUUCUCUCUCUCAACAUACGUCUCUUCAUCUCCCCCAUUCAAUUUUUAUUUAGAAUGAGCCAUUUUACUCUCUCUCUCUCAACAUUCGUCUUCUCAUCUUCCCCAUUUUAUUCUCUCUUUCUCAACAUACGUCUCUUCAUCUCUCCCAUUUAAUUUUUAUUUAGAAUGAGCUAUUUUACUCUGUAUGUCUCUUCAUCUCUCCCAUUUAAUUUUUAUUUAGAAUGAGCUAUUUUACUCUCUCUCUCUCUCCAUCGUUGGUAGAUGUACCAAGUGAGAUACACAAAAAAAUAUUUAAUAUUUUAUUAUUAUUAAUUACUACUAUAGUUUCUACCCGCUGCAAAGCGCGGGACUCUUCACUAGUUGAUGUAUUAUAGACGCAUCCUUGUUAUGAGAAACAUCUAAACUGGAGACAAUUUGUGUCUAGAUUCAAGAGUUUUAUUAAAUGGAGAAAAUUAAGUAUACAUAACUCGAACUCCUGACCUCUUAUUCUAAUAAUCAAAUUAAAUUAGAUAAAUCAACUGUUUUUUUUUUUUUUUUUGAGAGAUAGGUAGCACGCUAUCCUCUUCGUUUAUUUCAUUUAGAAAUAAACUUAGCUAGAAAUGUGAAUCAACUAGGAUUCGAACUUGGGUCUCGGAUACCAACCACCAAGUCCUUUGCCACUUGCUCUAGGGAUGGUCGGUUAGAUAAAUCAACUGUUGUUUUUUAAAAGUUUAGCUAUUAGAGAAUAAUAUUUGUAAUAUUUAUAUUCAAUAAAAUGAAGAUUAUAAAACUGCUAAUCUUUUCAAAAAGCAUCAGUUGGAAAUGCACAGAAGAGUUCAGAGCGAGCUUCUACUUAAGAGUUAAGAGGCUAAUUUGCUUCCAGAGCUGAGUUUCUGCUUCUAGGAUAAGUUCCUGCUGGAUGAAAUACUUGACUAUAAGCCAGGUGCUAGAACUAGCUUAUGUUUGGUAGACCCAAAUGAUGCUAACACUCUCCUUUUUACUUAACACACUUAUAAUUUUUCUUAAUUUUCUAGAAAAAAGGAUUAUUUUAUAUGAUUAAUUAUUGAUACAACAUCAAGAUUUGGAAUUUAAAGUAUGAUAAUAGAUGCAUAUUUGAAUUUCAGCGUCUCUAUAGGCAAGAUAACACGCAUCCAUCUCCCUUGCUUUUGUCAAAUCUUAUUAUAGUUUUCUUAUUCAACCGUGUCACUCGUACUCUAUAAAGUAAAAAUAAUUACUAAUAAAUGGACUUCACAAAAAACAAGAAAUAUCAUAACCCAAAAGAAGCACCAUCUCAUAAUAUCAAUUGAUAAUAUAGGCAAACAGUUGUUGAAAAGGAACAAGAAACAAUUUUUUCGUAUCAACAGGAAAGAGUAUGCUGGAUUAGAGACACUAAAACUAGUAUACCGUACGUCUCGCAAUAAAAUUAUCCACAUCUUUAUUCUGCAAAAAGGAUGAUAACUUCACCAAUUUAUCCGCAUCGCUUCCAUUAUAUUGGUAGACAAAGAAUAUCUAUUUCGUGCAUGAUGUUUCUCACGCUUACAGGUUUCCUACUGUUCAUCUAUAUAUGGCUCUUUUUAUAGUGUAACCGGGCUAUCAUUACAUCGGCAGUAUCUAGUGCAUAAAAUUUAAUGAUUGAUACUUAAGACUUCGAGUUCUAAAUAUAAUGUUUUAUAUAUUUUAAGCUGAGUUUAUUUUUUAUAUUGUGUUUGAUACAAAAAGAAACAUACUAGAAUAAAAAAUUUUGAGUUUGAAAUUUUAUAAAAAUUCUUAUAUUAUUUUAUUAUCUUACAUUUAAUUUAAAUUCAUGUAUUGAGUGGAACCGAUUAAAAAUUUUAAUGUGAAUAACAAACUAAACGAUCUAUAUCCGAAUUAUUAUAAGUUAAUUAUAAAAAAUUAUUAUUUGGGCAUAAACUUAUUCCAGAAGUCAACAAUGUAAAAGAGUCAAUGCUCAUCGUACGAGAUAAAAUUAGUUCUAAAUAAAAUAAACGAAUCAAAUAGCUAGCGUGCAACCUAUCUCUAAAAGAAAAUAAAAAAGAGAAAAAAAAAAAAAAAAACAUAACCUUAAUAUCUAGAUCUUUUUAGAUGUUGUAGAUUGCAUCAAAUAAGUUUAAUGUUACUUUUUAAGGUUCUUAAAAUCGAGUUUGAGGAAACAGGUCUACGGUGGACAAGGUCCAGGCAAAAAUGUAUCCGAAGAUAGCGUUUUUGUCCUGUUGUGCGACACCUGCAUCUCCAAGUCUCCACGUUUUGCCCUGCGGGGAACCGACACCUUUGAUUUCAUGCCGUACCGAAUAUCUCCACCGUCGGAUCAAAAAGCCGAUGAUGGCGUUAAUUCCAUCUCAAUGGUGGUGCGGUGGGUCCCACGUCUAUUUGAAUAUAGAUUUGCUUACUCACGCCCAUGUAUAAUAAUGGGUUAAUUCCAUACAAAUCCUUUCUAACAUAGUAAAUGAUAAACAUAUCCCUACAAAAGUUAAUUUUUAUGUAUUGUUCCUACAAAAGUUUUAAUAUCUUCAAAUAUGGCCCAGCCGUUAGAAUCCGUUAGAAAAACUUAGUUAACCAUAAGUUAAAUACUUAACCCUGAUUAAUUUUUGAUAUUUUUACUCAUCUUAUAUUAUACUGUUAUAACUUUUAGAAUGACAUAUUUGCGAUGGCAAAAUUGAAAAUAUAAACGAUUUUUUAACUGUAAUAAACCAGAGGGAUAUAUUUGAAAAUAUUAGAACUUUUGUAGGGCCAACAAAUUAAAGUUGAAUUUUUUAGAGCUAUAUUUGUUAUUUAUUAUAUUUGUAGGGAUCUGUAUGAAAUUAACCCAAUAAUAUAACUUGCCAUACUUUUAAUUGGUACGUAUUCAAAAUGAGUCUGAUCCUAAAAAAAAGGAAAGAUAAGUAUCUGAUGCGUAAAGCACAGUAGGCUUGUAAUAUAUAGUACGAAAUGAACACAUUAGGAUAAAUUUAGUGAUCUUGAUCAUGCUAUCAGAAAAAACUAAUGCACCUAUAUAUGCAGUGUGCAAUUAUUCCAUUAGGGUGCGUUUGGUUCAAGUUAUCCUGGCAGGAUUACAGGCAAUCCUGUCAGAAUAACUGUGUUUGGUUAAUCCGCUAUGUAAUCUAGUCGUUAAUGUAACAUUACAAAUCGAGCAGGAUUACAUCGAAAAUAUUAACGGGAGGGGGGUCGUGUAUCUUGCAUUACUGAAACCCGUUAAUACUACAUAUUAUGUAAAAUGACAAUUUGACCCUCCAAUAACCCAAAAUCUAAUUAACAGCAUUAUUUUCAUCUCUCUCUCGCCGUCCCAUGGCCCUCUCUCUCGCACGCCGCUUUCUCUCGCUCUCUCUCUCAACGUCUCUCUCUCUCUCUCUCUCUCACACGAACACCUAUCAUCUUCUAUUGCGUCGUCCUCCGAAGUAAUCAUCACGAUCUCCUUCCCUCCAUUCAUUAUUUCCGUAAAAAAUAAUAUUCAAAUGACCACAACAAGGAUAAUUUUGGAAAAAACUAUACUUUUAUGUCAGGAUUACUAAAUUUUAUAAACUGAACCAAACAUAUUAAUACUAUAAAUACUGUAAUCUAGUAUUAUAUUACUGUAUUAAACCAAACGCUCUAAUGCAGCAUUAGUAGUAAUCUCACGCCGAAAUUCAAAAUACCUGGAUAUAUCGAGAUACUUUGUAAUAUUACAUAACUCAAACCAAACGGGCCCUUAUAGUUAAAUUGUACUUUACCAUUCAUGUACUUUAAUCUUCGCUUAGACAUGGCUUUACGCUUUAAAGACAAGUGUCCAUCGGGUUUUUUUGCUUUUAGUUACAACUAAUUAUAAUAGCACGUCUGAUAAAUGAAAGAUUCUUGAAGUUCUUUAACUAAAAGUUAAAAUAAAAAUUUAAAUGUCUAUUUCACCUGUGCUACAGAGAUAAUUAAACUAUUUGGUAGAGAUACUACAGUAGAUCUCUUUUAAUAAUACUAUGUAAAAAGAAGAGAGACAGUCUAACAGAUUUAGUAGGCUGCUGGUAGAUCAUUUGGAAGGUCAGAAACGACUUGAUCUUUAGAAGAAUCCAACCAAAUCCAGAAAAAGCUAUUCUCAAUCUCCAGUAAUUAGUGAAGGAGUGGAAUUCACUUUUCCCAACUUGAACCCUUAACUUAACCUCCUUUUGGAGGCCCAGGAUGCCUCAUUCUUAUAGCUUAGCUCAUUUAUCCAAUGAUUGAAACCGGUAGCGCGCUAUCUUUUUCUCAAGAAAAAUAAUACUAUGUAAAAAGUACUUUUUUUCUAAAUCAGAGUGGAACGAUCCCUUACUCUUUACUUCGCAUUGGUUACUUGCCAUGGAGGGGCACUAGGUUAAAAUGGUGAGCCCCACCUAUGAGCUACACGCCAGGCAAACAGGCCUUGGUGCCGGCUGCACCUCACCCACCACUCGCACCUCAUUCAUGUAUCAGUCAUUUCUGGUCUAUUAAUGUCUCUACUUAAUUACAAACUCAAAAAUUCUAAAUUUCUCACUUCACGACAUAUGCGCGUUGACUUGUUAUAAUACUAUGUACAGAAAAGUUCUAUACGUAUUCCUGCAGCUGUAUAUGAUAAUAUGUUUAAAAUGUUAAAAUUCAGAAUCUUUCAGCGUCAGGGUUAGAUCGUGCACCCACUAAUACAUCCUCCCUUCUCAAAUAUCAUGCGUAUGAAUUUCGUGGUACCAUCACUUGUACCAUAAAACCACACUUUGGCCCCCACCUCUUCCACCACCAAGUCAUUUUACCACCUUUUUUUACCUUUAACUAUAUAUAUAAGGGUUCAUAUUCCGUGCAUUAGCGUGUUAUUGGCCGAGAAUGGAUAAGCCUUUGACGCCUACAUCCAUUACGCUGCUUAAUUUAAUUGGCUACACCAAUUAUUGUUCUCUUAAGAUCCUUUAAACUAUUUGGACGUGUCGUGACUUAUUAGAUGCAAUAAUAAUGUGUUGAACCCUCACGGUUAGAUGCGUGCAUAUCACUUAGGAUCUCGGCGAAAUUUUUUGUGCACUCCCCUUCUUGAUCCAAUUUAAUAAUCGAAGUGCGUCCGAGGGUGACGCAAACUUGCACGCAUGUUAAAGCCGAUUACGUAUCAAUCGAAUUAGGCUCUUAAUCCACUAUCAAUGUGGGUAAUAAAGGCCAUUACGGGCCUCCAAAAGCAAAGUCGGCGACGUCCAAUGGUUUGAGAGGCGCGGAGGGUAAACUCGUUGCCGAUUUCGGCGCGUCAACGUCGUGAGGACGUGGAGAGCCCUUCGAGUGUUGCGGCGUGACGAUCGUGGCUACUUUCAGGUGUCGAGUCCGAGACGCCUCUUCUUUGGUGUUGUGAGAUAGCCCGGCCCCCAACAAAAUUGCAUUGAGUAUAUAUUGUGUGUAACAAAAAUAAUAAUAAUAUUCAAUCUACUUUUCUAAAGGAUUACAUGUAUGAUGCAUAAUUAAAUUGCAUUGAGUCUGAUUAAUUAAAUAUGAUUUUUAUAAUCUAAUUGUAAAAUAGAAAUACUCAGCUUUUUAACAUUGGGGAGCUUUGUCGACACCAAACGAGUCAUAAUUAAGCUUUGCUACAGAUGAUGAAGUGUUGAGGGAUAAGCGACAUCUUAAACUAAGACUUCUUUUGAAAUUAAUUACGGGCACAAUGCGUUAUACAUGACAAGAGAGUUUGGUGACAAAAUAGGUCCAAGAUUUACUUGGACCGAACUCGGGUCCAGCCCACUGGCUCCCUUGCAUGGGCCAAACUUGAAAGAAUGGAUUAGAUUUUUUCUUUACCCUCUUCAAUAAAUUACGUUUUAGAUUUAAUCUUUAGAUUAAAAAAACAACGCACUUAACUUUUUGAAAGCUUACACAGAUGAAACCUAACCUCUAUGGAAAAAGAGAGAGAGAGAGAGAGAGACUUAACCCUUUUGAGGAGGAAAAAAAAAAAAAUGAUAAAAUGGUGGUGUAUUUAGACACAUCAUUUUUUUUUCCAACGCUAUAAUUUGGUAAGAUAUUUUUUAUCUUUUAAGGAGAGUUAAAUACAUGUUUUUCGUAUCUAAAGGACAAACUACAAUAUACGAUGUGUUGAGAGAGGUUAUCUUCCUUUUAGCCUUUCUUUAAUAUGGACUAAGGUUAUAGUUAUUCUAUAUAGUGAUCUUCAUCUUAUUUGGAUAGUAUAGAUAUUUAAAUGCGGCACUAUGUUAAUAUUUGCAAAUUACACCCUUAGUUGCAAAUUACACCCAUUUAUAAUUCUGUCUAUUGAGCAUCUCUACUACCACAAUCUGCGGGAACAUACGAUAAAGUCUCACUCUGAAUAUCAAAUGACAUCCAAUAAUUUCGUUGUUGAUAAGCCCCUAAGGUGUUAACGGUACUGGCUUUUGCUAUCGCGACACAAAAAUACCUCUGAUCUACUAAGGCAACUGUAUUUUCCGGCGGUGCUACGAAGUCAUUACCAUUCUCAAAGUGGAACGUCAUGCUGGGAUAUGCAUUGAACCCCCCAUGCGGAAUCUUAUAACACUCCUCAAAGUCCCGAUGGUGAUGGCGAGCUAGUCUGAAUCGCUGAAAAUACUCUUCGAAGGUAUUCUUGACUCGCUCGUAAGGUCCACCGGUGUUGAAACUGGCGUACGUUGAACCGGAAUCGAUGACGAAACCGCCUUUUAGUAAACCAUGCUCCGACCGCACCCUAAAGGUUCCUGGCGGGAACCCAAUACGACGGUUUGCGAUGCUCACGUCGACAAGGGUAACGAAAUAAUCAAUCUCGCUAUGAACAUUUGCGAUAGGAGCACUUUUAACGUUAGGCCCGCGCAAUACGGCACUCUCACCUAAUUUCAGAACACUCGGGCGGUUGAUUUCUCUGCGGAGACAGUACGCAAACUUACCAUGGGUUUGCACUCGAUUCGUUUGGCUUAUAAACGAAGUGCUCCUUCUGCCAAGUCCGGCAAUGCCCGACACAAGGAUGCCUAAAAGGUGGAAGUUUUGGCUGUCGUGGCUGCAGCCGAUGGCGACGUUAUGCACAAAUUCGAAACCGCCAUGGUCAGAAGCUAAGGCGAGUGUUUCUGUCGCGAGAACUCCCCUUGUUAGUGCCGGUUGUCCGUACCUGUAAGUGUAGUGGCACUGGUGAUUAAUGCAUUGGAACACUCUUGGAUUCCUCAAAUCGCAUAACGGAUGGUCGCACGGAAUCGGGGCAAAGCUCUGUGAGCUUCUCGGGUCGAAAACCAAGUGAUGAGGGCUCCAGCAAUGGGUGCACGGUAAGCAUUGUAGCCACACGAGGCCGCUGGAGGUGUCCAUCAUCAAGUACCGGGCUUGUCCGUGCUCUCGCGCAUGUCGUCGGGUACCGAUUCCAAUCUCCAGAACGUAAAGGCCGGAAAUGAAUUCCACACGAGGUUGGACGCGCGUUGUGUUGUAGUUGAUUGCCGGAGACGACAUUCUCGACUCAAUCGUUUGCGUUCGAAGAAUUGUGUAGUUAUAUAGGCGACUCAUGUGCUCUUCGGCGGUAAGGUUUCCCGGAUAGAGCGGAGAGUGGAUUGAGUCUCUAUGGAUCAUUCGAAGCUGCAGAGAUUGGAUAACAGAAGAGGCUAAUGUAAAAUACAUAACUAAGAAAAGGCUAUACAAGGCACUGGCCAUUUCUUCUAUUAGGUUUCACUCAUGAGCUUGUUGCAACAUCUUGUCUUUUAUAGAUGCAUCUAUAGUGCAGCAUUUACUAUGGAUAGUCAUAGCGGGGGAAUAAAGAUUUAGUGAUAGGUUUGUUGAAAAAGGAACAUAUAUAUGGUGUGUUUCAUUGUAUAUUUAUGUUCGCCAUGGCUUUUUAUUUAGUACUUUGAUGAAAAAGAGAUUACAAAAUCUGUGAAAAUCUUGAGAAAGUUUUCAGGGACAAUAAUUAAGAUCUAUUUCAACUUUAGCCUUAUCUUAUACUAAAUCAGUGGAUAAUAUAAAAAGAUUAAAAAAGAAACUUUUUUAAUCUCGAGAAAAUCUUGAAAAAGUCCAAAGAGCCAACCGGUGGUAGUUAUUUAUGAUCCGGCCCAAUUAUUCAACGGCCCGGACCACCAACUUUGAUUCCACAUCGGUUUAUUUAAUCCACUCAAUUAGGGAUGUAAAACGAGCCGGGCAACACGUGGGCCUUCCGGAUUUAGGCCGGGCCAGGCCAGGCUUUCAGGCUGUGAUGGGCCGCUUUUCUUUGGACCCAACAGUUUGGCAUGGUACGGCCCGAACCGUGCCUCGGCAAUGCCGGGAGAAGAUAAGCGGGCGGCCCUACACGGCACGGCCCGCUUGGGACGUGCUAACCGGCCCAGCACAGCCUGGAUCCCAAGGCCCAUGUCUUGGUCCGAGCUCUUGGGGAGCUCACCUCCCAACGCAGACCUGAUUAUUGGUCCAAUGGACCAGAGAAUUUUGAUCCAUUGGCCCAAAAGCUUAAUUUUUUUAAAAUAAUAAUAAUAAUAAUUCAUAUAUUUUUUAAAAAAAUUUAAAAAUUUAUUAUUUUAUUGUUAUUUUUAUAAAUUUUAAUUUUUUUUUUAAUCAAAACACUAAUUUAAAUAGAAAUAAUUUAUUAUUAUUUUUUUGUUUUUAAAAAAAUUGAAAAAUUAAAGGGCCGGCCCGGAGCAUGGCCCGGGCCGGCGCGGCCUGUGACUUUCGGGCCGGAUUUGAAGAGGGCCGAGCCGGGCCGGACUCUGGCCCGUUUUGGCCCGAUUAAUGUGGGCCAUGCUGGCCUAGUAUGGCCCACAUUACACACCUACACUCAAUGCUAUAUGUAAUAUCUAGUCUAUAAUUAAAACAAUUAGCGCAAGUGGCAAAAUAGCUUAAUAGUUAGUAGUCGAGUCCUAGUUCGAAUUUAUUUCUAAAUGAAUAAAUAAAGCAGGUAGCAUGCUACCUUUCUCUCUUUCAAAAUAAAAAAAGCUAAAUUGUAAAAAAUAAAUUAAAAAAAAACCUCCUUUUGCAUGCGUAUUGUUUUGUACUCUUACCUUUUUCAAUGAUAAAAACCUACAAUAAAGCACCCUCAAUUUUUUUGGACAAAUAUUUUAUAAGUAGUUUUUUUUUUUAAUAAAAAUAUAAGAACGAAUUGGAUGCCCUUUAUACAACCUCUCUUACAAAUUCCAACAAUAAUUAAGUUGUACUUUUUUUAAUUAGUCUAGAAAGAACAACUUGAAUUGAUUUUGCACGACUCGAAGGAGCGGUUCAAUGAUCUUCUAGUAAUUUCACGUGCUAUACAUAUAAUAUAGUUACGAAAUUUCACAGAAAUUGAGCUAGUUGAUUAAUUAAAACAAUUUAAAAGCUUAUGCAUUUUAUUUUUCAUAACUUGGAUCAUUUGUAUUUGUGCUAUUAUUUUGGAGCCUGGCAUGCUUUUCCUUUUUAAAAAUUAAAGUGAAAUUAAAGUAUGUUUCACGUUCGCCAUUCUUGGGCCCAAGGUUGGCUCGAUCGAGAUCGAGUCCAGAGCUUCUUAAUUAGUUUGCUCUCAUUCUCGAAAGAUCGAAUUAAUGGCAACGAUGAACUGGGGAUUUGAUUACAUUCUCUUGCACAGGAUAAUAAACACGAGCUCUAUGUUAAUCUACAAUAUUGAUCGGCAAAAGCUUCACGAGUAAAUUGUAUGAUCAUGCACUGUCUUUUCUUUUUCUUCUUAUUAAGUUAGUAGUGGCAAAUUACAACCACAUAUAAUGCUCUCUAUUAGGCAUCUCUACCACAAUCUGCAGGAAUAUACGAGAAAGUCUCUCUCUGAAUAUCGAAAGACAUCCGAUAAUUUCGUUGUAGAUGAGCUCCUAAGGUAUUAACUACAUUGGAUUUUACUAUCAUGACACAAAAAUAAUUCUGUUCUACAAAGACAACCACAUUUUCCGGCGGCGCCACGAAGUCGUUACCGUUCUCAAAGUGAAACGUCAUACUGGGAUACGCAGUAAACCCUCCAUGCGGAAUGUUAUAACACACCUCAAAUCUGUGAUGGUGAUGGUGAGCUAGUCCGAAUCGCUGAAAAUACUCUUCGAAGGUAUUCUUGACACGCUCAUAAGGUCCACCGCCAUUGAAAUUCGCAGCCGCCGCACCGGAAUCUAUGACGAAACCGCCUUUUAUUACACCAUGCUCUAUCCGCUCCCUAAAGGUACCUGGCGGGAACCCAAUACGAUGGUUUGCGACACUCACGUCCACGAGGCUUACAAAAUAAUCAAUCUCGUUAUGGAGAUGUAAAAUCGGCACAGUUUUAACGUUAGGCCCGCGCAAUUCGGCGUGCUCACCAAAUUUCAAAACACUCGGGCGGUUGAUUUCUCUCUGGAGACAGUAUGCAAACUUACCAUGGGCUUGUGCUAACUGAUUCAUUUGGCCCAAAAACGAAGCGCUCCUUCUGUUAAAUCCGGCAAUGCCCUGCACCUGGGUGCCUAAAUUGUUGAAGUUUCGGUUGUCAUGGCUACAGCCGAAGAUGAAGUUAUGCACAAGUUUGAAACCGCCGCGGUCAGAACCUAAGGAGAGUGUUUCCGUCGCGAGAAUUCCCCUCGUUAAUGCCGGAUCUGCGUACCUGUAAGUGUAGUGGCACUGGCGAUUAACGCAUCGGAACACUUCUGGAUUUCUCAAGUCGCAUAACGGAUGGUUGCACGGAAUCGGGGCAAAACUUCGUGACCUUCGCCGGUCGAAAACCAAGUGAGGAGGGCUCCAGCAACGGGCGCAUGGUAGACAUUGUAGCCACAUGAGGCUGCUAGCAGUGUCCAUCAUCAAGUACCGGGGUUGGCGGGGCGCUUGCGCACGCCACGGUGUGCCUAUCGCAAGCUCCAGAACGUAAAGGAAGAAGCUAACAUGCAGGCGAGGUUGGAUGCGCGUUGCGUUGUAGUUGAUCACGGGGGACGACAUUCUCGACUCAAUCGUUUCGGCUCGAAGAAUUGUGUAGUUAUAUAGGCGAUCCAUGUGCUCUUCGGCGGUAAGGUUUCCCGGAUAGAGCGGAGAGAGGAUUGAGUCUCUAUGGAUCAUUCGAAGCUGCAGAGAUUGGAUAAUAGAAGAGGCCAAUAGGAAAUACAUAGCUAAGAAAAGGUUAUACAAGGCACCGGCCAUUUCUUCUAUUAGGUUUCACUCAUGAGCUUGUUGCAAUAUCUAGUUCUUUUAUAGAUGCAUAUCUAUGUAUAGUGCGGCAUUUAUUAUGGACAGUCAAAGUCAGGGAAUAAAGAUUUAGUGAUUGUUUUGUUGAAAAAAGAGCAUAUGGUGUAAUUAUAGUAUAUUUAUGUGAGCCUUGAUUUUUUCUAAGUACUUUAGUGAGGAAGAGAUUCCAUGAUAUGUGAAAAUCUUGAGCUUGUUGCAGUAUCUUGUCUUUUAUAGAUGCACAGUGCGGCAUUUAUUAUGGACAGUCAUAGCCGGGAAAUAAAGAUUUAGUGAUUGUUUUGUUGAAAAAAAGAGCAUAUGGUGUAAUUAUAGUAUAUUUAUGUGCGCCUUGAUUUUUUCUAAGUACUUUAGUGAGGAAGAGAUUCCAUGACAUGUGAAAAUCUUGAGAAGGUUUUAGAUACAAUAAUUAAGAGCCACUUCAACUGCAGCCCUAUAUUAUUCUAAAUUAAUGGAUAAUAUAUGUAUAAUAUAAGCUAGGUGAAAAAAGCUUUUUAAUCUUAAGAAAAUAUUGAAAAAGUCCUAACAACCAAUCGGUGUUAGGCUGGCUCUAUUUGGCUAAGCCACAGAAAACAGUGCGGUGUGGAAAUAUUAAUUCUAUGUGAAAAAAAAAAAUUUACGUAGGCAUCGGGCAUGUCACUGUAGUUGGCCCUAUGAGUUCCAGUUCAAGCUAGCGAUAGUACCCUAAUCUAAGACCUUAUUUACCUCAUCUGAGAUAAGGUGCUACGCGAGUUUUUUUUGUUGCUUGCUAAGUUUAUUUUUCUUAAUAAAUAAACUAGAUAACUUCCAUCUUUUUAUUUAAAAGCACGAUUUUCACAAAAUUAAAACAUGUUACGCGUCUGUCAUUCUUAGAUCCAAUAUUUUUUCUUUGAGAGAAAGAUAGCACGCUACUCGCUUCAUUCAUUUAGCAGAUGAAUUUAACUAUAAACUGAAUGCAAAGAAAAACUGUGGAGCAAUAAGGCGACUCGUAUGUUCAAUGAUCUUAUUCAAAAACUUGCGCUCCUGGAUCUACCUAUGAUUAAUCAAUUAUUCACUUGGUCUAAUAUGCAGCGUAACCCAACAUUUGCAAAAUUAGACAGAUUUCUAAUCUCGACUGAGUGGGAUGUGAAAUUCCCACUUUCGAAGGUUGAGGCUAUCCCUAGAAUUACGUCGGAUUUACGUCGAAAUUCAAUGGAGCCAAUUGGCUUCUUAGUUCGCUCUUAUUUUUUAUCAAUGUAUUGACAACGAUAAGAUUUCAAAUUACGCCAAUUUGUCUCUGCUCUUUCUUUUUAAAAGCUAAUAAUUGCAAAUUACGCCCAUUAUUCUGUCUAUUAAGCAUCUCUAGUACAAUCUGCAGGAGCGUACGAUAUAGUCCUACUCUGAAUAUCAAAUGACAUUUGGUAAUUCCGUUGUUGAUAAGCUCCCAAGGUGUUAACUGUCUGAGAUUUUCCUAUCAUGACACAAAAACACCUUUGAUCUAUCACAACCACAUUUUCCGGUGGCGCCAUGAAGUCGUUGCCAUUCUGAAAGUGAAACGUCAUACUGGGAUAUGCAUUAAACCCCCCUCGCGGAAUCUUAUAACACACCUCAAAUCCGUGCUGGUGACAGUGAGCUAACCUGAACCGAUGAAAAUACUCUUCGAAGGUAUUCUUGACACGCUCAUAAGGUCCACCGGUAUUGAAACUGGAAUAUGCUGAACCAGAAUCGAUGAAGAAGCCGCCUUUUAACACGCCAUGCUCUAUCCGCACCCUAAAGGUACCUGGCGGGAACCCAACACGACGGUUUUCGACGCUCACAUCGAUAAGGCUUACAAAAUAAUCGAUCUCGCUAUGGAUAUCUUCAAACGGGACCUUUUUAACAUGAGGCCCAUGCAAUACGGCAUCUCGCCAAAUUUUAGAACACUCGGGCGGUUGGUUUCUCUCUGGAGACAGUAGACAAACUUACCAUUGGCUUGGCCUUGAUUCAUUUGGCUCAAAAAUGACGUUCUCUUUCGGUUAAAUCCGGCAAUGCCUGACACAACGCUGCCUAGAGUGUUGAAAUUUUGGCUGUCGUGGCUACAACCGAAGGCAAAGUUAUGCACAAAUUCGAAACCGCCACGGUCGGAAGCAAAGCCGAAUGUUUCUGUCGCGAGAACUCCCCUCGUCAAUGACGGAUGUCCGUACAUGUAAGUGUAAUGGCACUGGUGAUUGAUGCACUGGAACUGGUGUGGGAUUCUCAAAUCACAUAAUGGAUGGUUGCAUGGUACUGGGGCAAAACUUUGUGAGCUUCUUGGGUCGAAAACCACGGCAGGAGGGCUCCAACAGUGGAUGCACGGUUGGCAUUGUAGCCAGACGAGGCCGCUAGAGGUGUCCAUCAUCAAGUAUCGCGCUUUGCGGUGCUCUCGCGCGUGCCGCGGUGUGCCGAUCACAAGCUCCAGAACGUAAAGGGUGGGAACAAAUUCUACGCGAGGUUGGACGCGCGUUGUGUUGUAGUCGAGGGCUGCGGACGACAUUCUCGACUCGAUCAUUUUGGCUCGAAGAGUUGUGUAGUUAUAUAGACGAUCCAUGUGCUCUUCGGCGGUAAGGUUUCCUGGAUAGAGCGGAGAGUAGAUUGAGUCUCUAUGGAUCAUUCGAAGCUGCAGAGAUUGGAUAGCAGAAGAGGCUAAUGUAAAAUACAUAACUAAGAAAACGCCAUACAAGGCUCUGGCCAUUUCUUCGAUUAGGUUUCACUCGAGAGGUUGUUGCAAUAUCUUAUCUUUAAUUUAUUAAUUUAUUAUAGAUGCAUCUAUAUAUAGUGCGGCAUUUAUUAUGGACAGUCAUAAAUAGCCGGGGAAUAAAGAUUUACUAAAAAAGAGCCAUAUGGUGUAAUUAUUAUAGUACAUUUUAUGUGAGCCGUGGCAUUUUCUAAGUACUUUAAUGAGGAACAGAUUCCAUGAUAUGCGAAAAUCUUGAGAAAGUUUUAGAGACAAUAAUUAAGAGCCACUUCUAACUGCAGCACUAUAUUAUUCUAAAUUUAUGGAUAAUAUAUAUAAUUUAAGGGAAGAAUAGCUUUAGAAAAUAUUGAAAAUGAUCUCUCUCAAAAAAAAAAAAAAGAAAAUAUUGAAAAUGUACUCGGCCAUUCUUAAUGGGCUGAAAACAUGAUCUGGCCCAAUUAUUCACCGGCCCGGCCCACAGAUGUGAUUGAUGUGUUCGGGCCAAUUUGAAUCCCACUGUAUAAAUAGCGUUAUCUUAUCCGCUCCGCUCGACCGUUACGUGAGCGUUUCGUUCCCUCCGUGCGACGCUACCACUCUCCUCUCCUCUUCUUCCUCUUCGCGAUGCUGAGAGCGGAGCUCCUCCCUCGGUUCAAACCCUCGCCUCUCUCACCCCGCGCACCCAAAACCCUUCUCCUCUCUCGCCGCUUCGUCCGCAAGAUCCCCCCAAACCCUUCUUCCUCGAUCCCUCUCCCUCUCAAGAACCGCCUCUACAAUCGUCUCCAGUUCCGAUCAAACCCUAAUUUCCAGGUAUUUGAUCCCUUCCUUCCUCCAUUACCGGUCCUUUUGUAGUUCUUUCUUUUACCGGUUUGAUUCUUGCAGGUGAAUUCGCAGAGUUCGUGUUGCGGUGGUUUGGAGAUCGACGCAGAUGAGAUACUGGAUGUAGGGGAUAGAGAUUUGCCCGUUGAUCUCUUCUUGACGCGGACUCUUCCUCCGGCUCUCACGCUUAAAGCGGGGUAUGAGAAGAUAAAGAACGCGAUCGAAGAGCUGAAGACGAAUCCACCCUCUGCCAGUAGUGGUGUCCUCAGAUAUCAGGUAUGGCAGAUGUUUAGUUUCUAAUUAUAGUACUUUUUUUAAUGGGAUUGAUCUAUUCAUAAUGAUCAUUGAUUAGCUGCUUCGUUCUUUUUGAUUUAAAAUUUGAGUCGGUUCUUGAACACAUAACAUAAUGACAAGAAAAAAAAAAAACAAGAAAGUUGUUGUUCCUUUCCUCUUCUCAUAGUGGUCUGUUAGAUGCGAUUAAUCUAUUCAUGAUUAUCAUUGAUUAUCUUCUUUCUUUUUGAAAAAAAAAAUUGAGUUUCCUGAAGAAUUGAAAGGGAGAACAAGAAAGUUUUCUUGGAUUAGAAAGGCUCUGAAUUAUCAUGAUAAUGUAUUCUUGUUCUGGCAAUUGUGCUCUUAACUACUUUAGGCAAGAGCAGGCACCAACGUGUUUGGACUGUAAUGUUGCAGGUACUUGUGCCUCCGAGUACAAAGGCAUCAAAUUGGCUGUACCAUCAAUGCAGGAAUUUGUCAGGAUAUCCACAAUUUUAUAUCUGCACUUCACGAACUCAUGAUCUAUCCCUUGAAUUGGCUCCACGAAAUAAAUUGCUUGAGGUUUCUGGUUUUGGUACUGCAGUUUGUCUGCAUGGUUCUUCUCAUAUCCAAAAAGGAUAUAGUUUGCUGGCAAGGUGCUUUUUCUCUCCCUACCCAUCUAUGUCAGCAUUUUCAUAUUCAAUCUAAGAGCAAACUUAGUUAGAGGGCCAUCUGAAUUGAAGAGUGAUACUUAUCCAUAAUAAUUCUACAACUUUUGGUUUAAUUUCAUUUAUCUUAGAUGUUUUGAAUGCUUCAUCUUGUCAAAAACAUUUAGAAUUACAUAGCUCGUAUUAUUGAAUUUGUCGAUUCUACUUGAAUGCAUUGAUUUCAAUUCGAUAGAAUGUCAUAUCUAGGGUUGUACAGGAAGAACAAUAUUUCUCAUGAUCGGUUGCUACAUUCAGAGAUUAUGGAACAUAACACUUAGAUAAAGUACUAAAAUAAACAAUUAGUGAUCAUAGUCUAUAUAUUUCUAUUUUUAACUCAUAUUUUUACCACCUGCUAAAAUAUUCUAGUCAAAAAUUAAAAAAAUAUAUAUUUAUACAGUCAUGGUACAUUGAUUUACAAAUAUUAUAUGCUGUUUCGUGAGUUCAUUUGCUAACACAAUUGACUCUCUUUAGAUAUCUUUCAAGCGAUUGCCACCUGGUAAGAGCUUAUGGUUUCGUUGAUCUGAAUUUCAACAAGGAGCUAUCUUCAAUGGUGGAGAAAUCUGGUUCUUUUUACCUUUUUAUCCCUCAGGUGAAACCAUCUCGUUUCACUUCUGCAAUGUGUCCACUCUCAAUAUUUUCAUUAUCACAACUUAUUUUAUAUUUGGAUGAAAAAGGGAAAGUUUGCUAUUUAGUUGGAAGAUAUGCUUUCCAGAUUGCCUAAAUAUUCCGAUAGUGUUAGGAACCUGUUUAAUCUUUCAACAGAUGUUAGCCACAUUAUUUCAUGGUUGCUCUGUAUAGUUUCGGCAUACGAGUUCUGAGUUGCAUUUUUUUUUUUGGGGGGGGGGGGGGGCGGGGUGGUUGAUUAUGGCUAUAUUGUUUGAUCAAGUGGUACUAUCAUAUUUAUGCUCAACAAAAGAUAAUGAUAACAAAAUAGUUUAGCAAAUGUCUUAACUAUUUAGUUAUUCAUGGCAUUUUCUUGUUUACGCUAACAGCUAUCUAGUUGGAUAGCUAACAUUAUUAAUCAUUUCUUGCAACAUUCAUUGACCUAAUUUUCAGACCUCAUAAUCCAAUCUCUAUAUAUGUUUCCUGCAAUUUUCUAUAUUUUUUACACAUUGAAAAUUUUAAAAUUCAGCAACUAAGUAAAAAUUCUUAUUUGAGCUAUCUCAAGCUAGCAGACUAUCCUAGCAUAGAAUGUUAGAUAACCAUUUCCACUGUGGCACACAACAUUACUUCUUUGUCUAAGGAUUCAUCAAUUAUCACUGGUAUCAUCACUGGUAAGGAUGCUCAUACAAUUCAUGUUUCAUAUUAGUCUACGCCUCUGUUUGUACAGUUUUGGACUUUGAAUCAGAAUAUAUGGAUUGCAUUGUGGGUUAGUUUAAGCUAUUAUUAUUUGGCAGCAAUACUUCCAUGAAUUGUUCUUGGAACCAGCUUGCAGAUCUUUGUAGGUUAUUCUAUUUGUUAUCUGUUCCGAAGCCUUAUAGCAGUUGAUAGUUCUUUGAAUAGAACUAUGAUCUUGCGUGUCUUGGUCUACUUCAAAAUUUAUUCACAGAAAUUUGGAUUUGUGCAUUGAUGCUUCCUAAAUCGAGUUGUAAACUGCAGAUCGAGCUGAACGAAUUCGAUGGCUGCUCAUUGUUAGCAUCAACACUUGCUUGGGACGACUCGAUGUUGUCGUAUACAUUUGAGAGAGCAGUUUAUAUAUUUGAGUCAUAUUUUCACAAGGUAAUUAGAAUUUUGGAUCACUUUUCAAUAUCAUCUCACUAAUUUACAUUCAGAUGCCUGCUCAGAGACUGAACGUAUGAUCCAUUGCCUACAUGACAUGUCACACAAGCACUUGCUGUCCGCACUUCUAAAUGUUUUUAAUUGUCUGCUCAGUAACUAAAUAUCUUGACUCUUCUCUUCAUGAUAUGUCACUUUUUAAUUGUCUUCAUUUGCGUUGUCAUCAAUUUAAGGUUUUACCUUUGCAUUUUUCUCAAAAUUUCUUCUUCCAUACUUUCAACUGUUUAUUGCCGUGUUGUUAAAGAAUGGUAGACUUGCUGUCCGCUGCUCUGCCACUUUAUUUUUAACCUUUUUCCCCUCUCCAGUAGCUUUUCUUUUUAUCCAAAGUCGCAUUCUAAAUGCUAGGAAGUUCUAUAUAGAUGUCUAGUCAUGACCUGCUGAAUCAUAGGUAUAAAUCCUCACUUAUUUUUAU